rnacentral:lncRNA from 1 species
AAUCUACUACUAGCUGGGGAAUUGGCUUCUUGAUGGUGUUCAAAACUGAGCUGAACGCAGGCAACGCAAUAAGAAGAUUAGGAAACUGAUGGUAUUGGUGUGUCGUUGUUCAGGUGUGGCCGACUGAGAACAACAAGAAGUUCGAGACCCUGUCGUACCUGCCGCCUCUCUCCACGGAGGACCUCUUGAAGCAGAUCGACUACCUGAUCAGGAACAACUGGGUCCCCUGCCUCGAGUUCAGCAAGGUCGGCUUCGUCUUCCGUGAGAACGCCACUUCUCCCGGGUACUACGACGGCCGCUACUGGACCAUGUGGAAGCUGCCCAUGUUCGGCUGCACCGACGCCACCCAGGUGUAUGCCGAGCUCGAGGAGGCCAAGAAGGCCUACCCCGACAACUACAUCCGCAUCCUCGGAUUCGACAACGUCAGGCAGGUGCAGUGCGUCAUGUUCCUCGCCUACAAGCCACCGAGCAGCGAGGCCUAAGCGCAGUUAUCGAGACUAGCUCAGCUCCUGCAUGAGCAACCAUGAAGUGUCUGUUUUGUUUUUUGCUUCGGGUCACCUUGAUUUUCUUUCUUUUUCAUGGUUGCUUCUGCUGUAUCCAUGGCAUGCAUGUGAUCUCUCCCCCCAACCGGAGAGUUAUGUUGGGUGAGGAACAUGUCAAUGCAAGCUCCGGCUAUGAUAUGUAAUAUGGAUACUAGAGCACAUCUGCCAAUAAUCCGCCGACAAUAAUAGAUCGAGUUAGUUACUGGUGUUUUUGUAUCAAUUUAUAUAUGUUCCUCAACCUUAUGCUUCUCGAUAUCUGUGUCAAUCAAAUCUCAUGUACUUCAUGUGUGUACCAGAUCAGUUGAUGAUAAAAAAAGGCUUAUAACACCUGUCCUUUUCAUUGAUUUUGCCACGGUCGAGUUGCAAGCUUGCAAUGAAUAAUGUCACAGUAAUCAUAAUUUCAUAAUUUCAUGUAUUUGUAAAUUCUAGUUAGUACAAAAGGGUGAGGCCAUUGAGUUCAAAUGCAUACUUUGCGAAAUGGAAAAUGAAUGUAUGCUGUAAAUAGGAACAACAUAUAACAAUGUCAUUAUACGGAAAUUAAAGUGAAAGGAAGCUUUUUAUGAUUUAGAUCAUGGAGGUAAGAAUCAUCAUACAACCCAGGCCAUUCCAGCGUGUCUCCUCUCCAUGGUAGAACUGCUAUAGUUUCCAUUGAUCGGAGUCAACCUAGCAAAGUUUCUUUUGAACGGCCGGAAUCAACCUAGUAUAUUUGAGAUUGAAUGCAAAGUCCGCAACUCAGCUUGCCAAUUUCAUACAUAGAUAUCACUAAAUGACAGAUAAAUACUGACAGAUAAACAACUGAGGAUGCUACGCUCUCACCCGAGCCACUCCCAUCCGGCACUUGAACACGCCAUCCCCCUCUCCCCUCCCCUUCAGUUUUGCACUCUAAAUCAUGGGCUUAUAGCUCUAAUUUCCAUUCACUGAUUUUGGUCCUGCGGUCAGGAUGGGGUCGUGGCAGGGUGCGGUGAUGCUCAUGCAAAUGCCACUAUCAAGGUCGCCGACGGCCCUAAAAAGUUGACGCUCAAUCAUGACACAUUAUAGUGGCUUUGGAUAAAUUUUUAUACUAAUCACCACUUGAUACCUGAAAUUCUUAUAUUCGUAGAUGUAUUGUAUUUUGAGGUAUGCUGCAGUUUAACAGGUAAUACCACACAAAUAGAGGGUUUUUGCUUGAGCUUGACGUACAUAUAGAUCAGGAUCGUUGAGAGGAUCCUACACGUGGAAGACGAACACCUGGAGGGCCAGACCCAUUGGGGUGGCAGCCUGGCCCAAUUUUGCUUCCGAUCCAGCCCCGUUCCUGCAGAAUGAAGUCCACAAAGAUUUUAGGAUUUCCACUCGACUAUUCAUCUAGAGAUGCCUCCAAACCGAUGUAGAGUGGCAGUAUAAAUACCCUCUAAAGAACUAUGUGAAGGAGGUUUGCGAAGGAUCGCAAUACAACACAUCCCACCAUUUUGAUCAUUAGAGCGAGCAUCGCGGGGGACCUUGGGAGGGGGGAGAAAUACCCAGGCUGAUCUGCGUAGGGGUGCUCAGGUUGAUCACAUAGGGGCUUCAUGCCCCGUCUUGCCACCUUCUUUGAUCUCGUUGUUCUUUAAAUUCUCCAUAACUCCUUUGUGCAUCAAGAUGCGUAAGAUCAUGAGAUAAAGUUUCCGUUGAUCCCUGGAAUCAAAGGGGGUCGCUUGUGUUUAUGAUCCAUAUAUUUUAAUAAAAUAUGUUGAUGAAUGCCUUCAUGUUCCAUGAAUCUCAGUAGGUUUGUAGUAAGCUUAUGGUUGUUGUGUUUCCUACGUAUACUAUCAUAGUGUAUGCGGUAAGGAAAACGUCGAGCACAUGCACAAUCGUUUAGUAAUACGAAGAUCAGUACCGUUUGUGUGGUGAAAGCAUAUACAAGUGAUUUUGGAUCCUUGGAAAGGAUGUUCUAGUUAUAUUUGUUAAUAACCGUUAGCCUUUGACUUGUUAACUUUAAUUUACUAUAUAGAUUUCAUACACAAUUACGCUAUUCGUUUAGUAGAAUUAGUGCAAUAGCUAAAUCAAGACCACUUGUUCUGUGAAUUGAUGAACUUUGGGAAUACUGUAAGGAAAAGCUACAACUGAUCCGUGCAUUUCGAUUUAUGCCUAUAUCUUUAAGUGCCACCAACAAGCUUUUAUGCUGCCAUUGCCGCGAAACAUGUUAGUUUGUUGAGCUUAGCUUUGUAUUAAUCUUAUUAACCUCUAACACCAAUCCUUUGUGUAGAAUUCUUUUUAUUUUUAUUUUUGCUGUCUAGAUGGCGCUAAUCAUCUUGCGGAUGGGGAACUAAGAAUUCCCGCGAAGUAAACUGCCAAAACCGACCUUGUGAGCCUACAGAAGGAAAGAUGUGCUCUCCUAUUCAACACACACCAAGAUGGAAUAACUCUCUCCUCAUUUGUAAUAGUCUUAGGCUAGUGAAGUUUAGGCCAGAAGUAGAUCUACUUUGGGUUUGUCAUUGGUUCAUAUGCUACUUUGCUAGUCUUAUGUUCCUCUCAUUGUUUAUACUUAUAUCAUAUAUCAUGCAUUUUAGACUAAUCGCGUCAAUCUAUGCCACAACAUCAAUCUAGUGUUCUUUGUCGUUUCUUAGUUCUUUGCUUGUCGAUCCGUAGGGUUGGAGCUCCCGGAGGAACUAGAGUAUUGUUUAGUAAUGCAAGCAUGGUGCUUAGCACCAUCAACAAACUUGGGAUUAGGAGGCUUUGAACCAUCGAUCCAUCUAUGAAUGACAAGAAUGAAUGGAAUUUCAAACUAAUAUAAAUUGCAAUCUAGAAUUAUGCAAUCUAAAAUUAAUGAAACCUUUGUCUAAAAAGAGUUAUAUGAAAAAUACCCUCUUAAAGUUAUUUUUAAAAUUUCUAAUGAUAAGCAACUCUAAAUUUAAUAAAAAAAACAUCUAAAAGUGUUACGUACAUAUUAAUUAAAAAAAUCCUAUCAAAAUCAAUACAAUAAAACAAGAUAUAAAUGGCUUGUGCAUCUAGGUACCAACCUUAAAACAAGAGUUAUGCGAAUCCUUCAAAAUUCGGGAGCCAUCUUGAAUUUUGAUGUAAAUUUUGCCUCUAGCAUGAAAAAAGAGCCUCUCCAUCAAAUUCAAACUACAAAAUCCAAAUCUACCUAAUGAAAUAAGCAAAGAAUUGAAUAGGUACCAAGCAUAAAACAAGUGGGUAAUGUCCAUACUUCAAAAUUUAUUAGCCUCCUUAUGCAUUUUGAUGUAAAUUUUGCCUCUACCAUGAACAAAGCCUCUCCAUCAAAUUCAAACUGAAAAUUCAAAAUCUAGCCAAUGAAACUAGCAAAAAAACUGUAUAGGUUGCUAGCUACCUAGCAUAAAACAAGUGGAAAAUAUUCAUACUUUAAAAUUCAUUAGCCUGCUUAUGCAUUUUGAUAUAAAUUUUGCCUCUACCAUGAACAAAGACUCUCCAUCAAAUUAAACUACAAAUUCAAAAUCUAGCUAAUGAAACAAGCAAAGAAUUGAAUGGGUUGCUAGCUAUCAAUGCAAGCAUAAAAUAAGUGGAUGAUGUCUAUACUUCAAAAUUCAUUAGCAUCCUUAUGCAUUUUGAUGUAAAUUUAGCCUCUACCAUGAACAAAGCCUCUCCUUCAAAUUCAAACUAGAAAUUUGAAAUCUAGUCAAUGAAACAAGCAAAGAAUUGAAUGGGUUGCUGGUUACUAAUCUUAUACCGAGUAGAUGAUGUUUAUACUUCAAAAUAAAGGGGUCCGAUAUCUUGACCAUCUUGAUGAGAAAUGGCUGCAAAAAUGGUGAGAAGAAAUGGUGGAGUCAGGUUGGAGGAGGAGGGGGAUGGGGAUAUAUACUGUACCAUUUUCACUGUUGGUCCGUGGCUAGGGCCGUCCACUACGCCCACCUACUAUAGGGCCUGUUAUGAAAAUAGUUUAUGUAGUAGUGAUGGUUGCUCUGCAGCUAAGUCUUGGUAGAUGUGCUUAGGCACCGCCGGUCUCCUUGCAGACGGGGGCUUGCAGACUAUGAACACGAUGCACUGUACCCCGCCUGCCUAACAUUGUCGAAGCCGAGGAUACGGAUGUAGGCGUCGGAAUAGGCCUUUCGAGGGCAGAGGCUAGGGUACCCUCCCACUUCAUCGAAGCGUACUAUGGGGAAUUAGGUUCUCUCACUGAUACGCCUGACCGGUAACGCCCUCUCUUCUAGCACAGUUAGAGGAUUGAGCUUUAGAACCGGUCGGGAACCCUAUUUAGUACCGGGCGUCUGACCAGUACCAAUUGCUCGGUACUAAACGAGACGUCAUUUAAGUACCAGCCAAAAUGCCCGGUACUAAAUGGCCCAUCUAGUACCGGUCGGUAACACGGACCGGUACUAAAUGGCUUUGAGCCCAAAAAAUAAAGAAAAAAAUAAAGAAAAAAAUUGUUGAGCCCCCGGGAGGCCUCUGCACACGUGCAUCACAAGUCACGCAAAUUUCAUGCGUAAUAUGUGCGUGCACGGUCCGUGGAAUUCGAACUCACAACCUCAAACCUCACGUGAACCUCCCUUACCAUCUCACCUACGCAUCGUAUGUGAUUGGAUAUUGGAUAGAAGAUGCUUUCCUUUUGAAGUAAUCCAUGAAGAACGAUCUAGUACCAGGCCAAGACAGCACCCGAUAGUAAUUAGUACCGGCCGGUGUCAUGGUCCGGUACUAAAUGGCCGCGCCAUUUUAGUACCAGGACAAAACACCAGCCGGUACUUAAAAUGCGAUAUUUAGUACCGGUUGAUCUUAUCAACCCGUACUAAAUGGACUUCAAGGACCGGAAAUUUCUAUCAGGUACUAAUUUCGCAUGUUAGUAUCGGAUGAAAGUGCGUCCAGUACUAAUGCGUUGUACGAAUGGUUAGUUUUCCAGUAGUACAGCGAGGUGGUUACCUAGGAAUCGAGCGCCAGCUCUCUUUUCUGGGAGGUUGGCAUCUAAGCGCUUGGCCUCCUCGAGCUCGGCAUACACCUGGGUGGAGUCUGUGCAGCCGAACAUGGGCAGCUUCCACAUGGUCCAAUAGCGGCCGUCGUAGUACCCGGGUGACCUGGCGUUCUCACGGUAGAUGAAACCAACUUUGCUAAACUCGAGGCAGGGGACCCGUGGAGAGCGGCGGCAAGUAGGACAGGGUCUCGAACUUCUUGAUACCCUCAAUCGGCCACACGUGGACAACGAAUGAUCACACUAAUAUCAGUUCAUGAACUUCCUGCUCAGUGGCAGCAUCAGUAAGAAUUCCAGUUACUAGAUUAUUACCUGCAUGCACCUGAUCCUUCCGCCGUUGCUGACAUCGCCGAAGCCUGAGCUGCUGGAGCGGCGGCUCACGGGGAGGCCAGCGGUGGACUUGAGCCCCUGGAAUGGAGCAACUGAGGUGGCUGAAGAUGUCAUGGCGGAGCUAGGGUGCCAUUGCUCCUAUACAAGGAGAGUUGCGGCCCUAUAUAACCUAUGCGCUUGGUGCAAGGGGUUUAUAUAACCAAUACAACCAAAUCAGAGGGGAUGCCAGGAUAUGGCAGGAGUGGCUACUGUUGAACAGUCCAAGCAUUUGUGGCCAAACGAGCCUGCUGCACCUUUCUGAACCAAUCCUGCUCGAAGACACGAGCUGCUGGUCCACACUCGGGAGAAUUCGUCCGUUCUGCCUUAUAUGUUGGCUGGAUGUGGGAGCAUCGCUCGCUGGAAAUUUGGCACCACUUACUUAGCACCGCGGCUUUGUUAAUUGCUGGAUGUCGUUCCAUAGUUUCUACUGACCUAUCACUGAUUUUCUCAGCACGGCUUUGAGUAAAUUAUCUCAGACUUGGUGCCGGCACGAAGAUGCACGAGUAUCCGUGUCAAUUUUUUCGUGUCAGUUGGGUGACGAGCAUUGAUGAGAGGUUAAUUAGGAGUCAUCACGAAAUUCCAACAUGCAAUUGAACCAUCGACCUCCAAGCUUGGUCCCUAAGUUUCAGUAUAUGAUUUUAUUGUAUAGUUACCAAGGCUGAGAAUUUGGUAACCAAGUUUGGUAACUGAAUCAGAAAAGUACGAUGAUAAACUUCUCUCUCAUCUUAUGAAACUCUCCCUCCUCUCUCCUCAGAAUUAUCAUGCCAUGUCAGCAAAUUUGUUAAUGUGGCACAAUAUUUAAUGCUUAUAAAACUUUUUUAGUGAAACCCAUGGAGACUUGCCUUAUAUGUAACGGUCUUUGAUGACGCAUGUUGCAUAUGUGGAUCUUUGAUUCUUUGUAACGGCUUCGUAGUUCGUUACCUUUGCGGCUUAGUGUUUUCCUGCUUCCCAAGGUUGUUUCUUGCUUUGAGCAUUGCUGCUCGUUCCACCAAAAUCUUUCCCCACAUUUUAUAUAUGUAGUCACCAUAUAUCCAUGACACAGCAGUUUUUCUGCGGCCCCUCUAAUAUCGAUUUCACAUCUCUCGCGUGUGGACAAACCUGCUUCUGUCACUGCUUGGCGCCUGCACUGCAUGGCGCUGCAUCCAGUAGUUUUCGAGCUGGAUUCAGAAAGGUGCACCAGGCAUGUUGGCCACGAGAGCAGCUGACGCCGCAUGAGCCACAAAUGCUUGGAUUGUCGAAGAGCUGCCACUCCUGCCAUAUCCUAAUAACAUCCCCUCUGGUUUGGUUAUAUGAACCCCUUGCCACCAAGCGCAUAGGGCCCCAAAUCAAGCUACCGAGACUUCAGUUGUAUAUAUUCGCUACAUUUCUAGCUCCUCUCCUUGCAUAGGAGCAAUGGCACUAUCCGUGAUGGCCUCGUCGGCCACCUCGAUCAGUCGCUCCAUCCCAGGGUCUCAACAAGUCCACCGCUGGCCUCCCCGUCAGCCGCCGGUCCAGCAGCUCCAGCUUCGACAACGUCAGCAACGGCGGAAGGAUCAGGUGCAUGCAGGUAACAAUCUAGGAACUGGAAUCCUUACUGCUGCAACUGAGUAGGAAGUUCAGGGACUGAUGUUGCUGUGCUCAUUAUUCGUUGUUCAGGUGUGGCCGAUUGAGGGCAUCAAGAAGUUCGAGACCCUAUCCUACCUGCCGCGCCGCUCUCCACGGAGGAUCUAUUGAAGCAAAUCGACUCUACCUGAUCCGGAAUAGCUGGGUCUCAGUUCUAACCGACCGAUCAGUUCACUUCCUCAGUUCCUACACAAGUUCAGUUCUCAGGGACCAAUCAGUUCUUUUAAAAAAUAGGAACCGAGGAAAUUCGGUUUCCGUUAUUUCGGUUCGGUUCCGGUUAUAACCGAAACUAACCAAGUUCCUGUACAAGUUUACCAAGCUAAGAAAAAAUAAGAAAGAAGAAAGAAUGACAAAAAAGAAAAAAUAGCCGCACGCACCCGCUGGUGGAGAAGGGGGCCGCCUCCGCGCCUUGCUUUGCCUACGAUGCUGCUAGGCCGUGCACCGUCGAUGCACCGCCGCCGUCAAUUCGUUGCCGCGUGCCGUCGAUCUGCCGCCGCCGCGCUCUCUCGCGGCCGCACGCUGCCACUGCCGCCCCAUCCCGCGGCCGUGCGCUGCGGCCGCCGCCCUGCCGGGAGGAAGGAAGGGAGAUUGCGGCUGGGCGUGGCGCCGCCGUGCUGGGAGGGAGGGAGGAAGACAGCGCGGGGCAGUGGCCGGACGCCAGGCAGCGGCGGGGCCGAGUGCCGCGGGGUUAGGGCGCAGCCGCAAGGGGCGAGGAUCGGACGCAGGCGGUGGGGGGAUCAUCGGCCUAGCGGCAGCGGGGGCCUGGUCGUGGUCGAGGUGGGGUGGCCGGGUGGAGACUAGGAUAGUGGGAAUUGGGAUGGGACUGGGGGAGUGGGUGCAGUCGAGGUUGCCUAGGAUUUCUAGUUGGGCCGGCUUGGGCCUUGGCCAGCUGGGCUAAAUUUGCCAUGGGCUUGGUUCUCGGUUAACCAAGCCCAAGAACCGAAAGAACCGAGUAAAUUUGGUUCCUCAAAACAAGGAACCGUAGCAGAACUGAAUUUCCUCGGUUCUAGUUCUUACGGUUCCGGUUCUCAGUUCUUUCGUUUCGGUUCUUGAUUCUCGGUCCACAGAACAAGGAACCCCUGCCUUGAGUUCAGCAAGAUCAGGUUCGUCUACCGUAAGAAUACUAGUAGGGAUGGUAAUGGCACCCGCUGGUUUUACCCAACUCAAACCCAUACCCGUGAACAAUAAAUCUGCUCGCCCGCAACCCGUCACGGGUGCAAAUUUCUACCAAACCCGUGCCCCCUCAGAUUUUGGGCACCUGCAGGUUGCCCAUGCCCGAUAGCACCAUAUCACCACUAAGUAGCAGCGUGCCGACGACGGCGAGGGGCCGACGCGCGCCGCACACACAGGUUGGGCGCGCGGACACUGGGGCGAGGGCAACGUGCACGCUUGGGCGGAGGCUGGCGGGGCAGAGGCCGAGCAGACGGCGACGAGGGGUCGGCGAGCAUGCAAGGCUGUGCGGGCGAGCGAGCGUGGCACGCGGGGCGAGCGAGGGGUCGGACGUGCCCGGAGCGGGCGAGCGCGGCCACGACGCGAGCACGUGUGGCGUGGAGGAUAUAAACGCGUGCGGGGCGAGCCGCGAGCGCGUGAGGGGCUGGUGCACGGGGCUAGCUGUGAGCGCAUGCUGCCGUAGAUGCGUAGCCGCACCUGCACGUGCUUCAGGGGAUGGGAGGGAAGGGUUAGUUAGGGUUUGGAGGGAUGGUUAGGGUCUUAUAUAUUAGACUAAAUGGGUCAAGUCAGUUGGACUGAGGUAUGUGGUCAUGGGCUUAUUUGCCUGAUAGAUCGGGUUUUACAAACCUACGGGUUUGCGGAUUUGGGUUCUACAUAUUAUUCUAGGCCCGUGCCCGCAAACCCGAUGGGCUAGGUCUGACAUUCUACCUAUUAACAGACCCACGGCAUAAGAACUGACUCAAGAUCCAUAUCCUAAUAGGAGAUUUCGAAUACCCAUUGCCAUCCCUAGAUACCAGGUCACCCAGUUGCUAUGGCGGAUGGUACUGGACCAUGAAGCUGCCCAUGUUCGGCUGCACCGACGCCACCCAAGAGUACGCUGAGCUGGAUGAGGCCACGAAGGCCUACCCGACGCCUACAUUUGCAUCCUUGGCUUCGACAAUUCAUGCAGGUGCAGUGCAUCAUGUUCAUCGCCUACAAGCCCCCGAGCUGUGAGGAGACCGGCGGUGCCUAAGCGCAGCUAAGGAGACUCUGAUGAAGUUUCUGCUCUUUUUUCCCCACUUGGGUCACGUUGAUUUUCUUUUCUUUACCAUGGUUGCUAGUUCUGCUGCGUCCAUGGCAUGCAUGUGACCCCUCCCCGCAACCGGAGAUUUAUCUACAUAGGAGAUAGGACUACUGCAACUAUCGUUGGGUGAGGAACAUGUGAAUGCAAGCUCAGGCUAUGAUGUGUAAUUAUGUAUGCAAUAUGAAUAUUAGAUCACAUCUGCCAAUCCGCCAACAAUACUAGAUCGUACGUGCUAAUUACUGGUGUUUUUGUCUCAUUCAGUGUAUGUUUCCUCAUCCUUAUGCUUCUCCGUAAAUCAAGUCUCUAUGUACUUCAUGUACCAUAUAUUUGAUGAGAAAAAGGUCUUACAAUUCCUGUUGCCAUGGUUGAGUUGCAAACUCGUAACAAAUAAUUUCACUGUAAUCAUAAUUUCAUGGAUUUGUAAAUUCUAGCUAUUAGAAAAGGGUGAGGCCAUUGAGUUUAAAUAUAUAUACUCUAUGAAAUGGAAAAAUAUAUGUAUGAUGCAAAUAAGAAUGACGAAGUCGUUGAUGCGUAAAGUGCAAAGGUAAUUUUUAUUUUUUAUGUUUUACAUCAUUCAUGGAGGUAAUAAUCAUACAAUCCCGCUCCAUCCGGUGUCCCCUUUCCAUGAGAGAAGUCCUAGUUGCCUCACUUUCCACAUAACCUUAUCCGUGCUGGUGGUUGAGGCGCCAUGAACUUUUUUGUUGUUUUCUUUAGGGUCAACGGGGGAGCAUCCCCACAUGAUUCAUUUCAUUUUGGACCCUAAUAGCCCGCGUGAUAACAAAAAUUUUACAUCAUUUGCCUAGCAUAAGACGACGUUUCGUGGCAUGAUCACAUAUAUCAAUAUGUCCUAGCUCAAGCUCAAGGACUCAAACCGUGGCAUAACCAUUGAUAUAAGAACUACAACUCACGCACGACAUCAGGCAUCUGAGUUUGGUAGCACACGGGGCCGGACCUUGGCUCCACUGCUUGCGUUACACCGCCGCGCGUCGAAGCCGUUGCCAACCACCGCCGUCGGCACUAGCACCCCCCGCCGCCGCUGUAGAUCUGACGCCCACCGGAGCACCAGCUCACCAGUCGUGAUGUCGUGUUUGCCAUGAGCUGCGGCCGCAGCCACAGCAGAGGUGGCCGCCGGCCCCCAUGCGUGGGGGACGCCCCGCGUGGGGGAUGCCACCGCCGCCACACCGCGUAGAGCCGAGCCUGGAGGCGCCGGAUCCGGCCACCGGCCACCACGGGCACCCACCCGCGCGCCGCGACAGACGCUCCUGCGUCGAGGAAGCCGCCGCCGCUCGGUGUAGAGCCAGCCCCGCGGUGCCGGAUUCAGCCUCAGGGAGCACAUCCAGAAGGCCUGCGCGAGAGGGCCCACCACCAUCGUCAUUGGGGCCGAGCGUGCGUCGACAAGGUCUCGCGUGCUCGCCAGAACCACAGCCAUGGGACCCACGCACACGGGCAAGAGCGGCGUGCCCCCCAAGAUCCGGCUAGGGGUUCGCCGGAUCCGGCAUCGGAGGUGCUGAGUCCGGCCGCUGGCGGACUGACGCUCGGAGCUGCAAAACUUGGGGAAGAGGAAAAAAGAGGCCUCGCCGCCGCUAUCCUGCAGCCGAGUGGGCUUCCGCUGGCCUACUCGAGCGGCAGUGAGUGGGAUGGACGGGGGAGGUGGGGGGUCGCGGCUGUGGCGGCUCGGGUGCCGCCCGAGUCACCCGCUAGGAGCGACGCGGGGGCCUCCUACUUCGGCGUGUGUCACAGUGUAGGUUGAGCACGCCUAACUAAACGAUCGUUUUGGCACUAAGACAUAACGUUACGAUAAAAACCCUCACAAAAACAUUUCAAGUUGCUUGUCAUUCAAUCUAUGGUACUACUUCACCAUCCUUCGAGUAAAAACAUCAUCCAACAUAAGGAUGGCAGGAUCUCUUAAUAAAUUAAAUAAAAACAAAGCUGAAAAUAAAGAAGUCGCCACGUUGCAUCACUAUAGGGUAUGACUCAGUUAUAUAAUUACUACUUGGCAGGAUCCAUAUCAGGGGCCUUCGCAGAGCCAAAAGUUAUUGCAGCAAAAGAUUGCAAUGUUCAAUAUCCUUCGUAUGUUAAGGGCUUAAUCUUGCACCUGCUCCGGAGCUUGCGAGUUCUCACUAUCCACUACACCAAAACAGCUCAAUUUCGUCGGUCACAUUUAUUUUCGUCGGUCCACCGAGAGCCGACGAAAACAAGUAAAUUAGUUUGUCGGCUUACCAAAGCCGACGAAAUUGCGCUUAUUUUCGUCGGCUUAGGUCAAGCCGACGAAAAUGCUACUAUAGUUUUGUCGGCCUAGUCAGAGCUGACGAAACUAUAGCCACAUUUUCAUCGGCUAGACUAAGCCAACGAAAAUAAGCUCAAUUUCGUCAGCUUUGGUAAGCCGAUGAAAAUAUAGUUGACCUAACUAUAUGUACCCAGCUCACCUUCGAUCCCUUUCUUUUCUUUCACAGCAGCCCCUCCUCCCCGCAUUGCGCCGCCGCCGCCCCCGUGCCCCGCUCCCGCCCCGCGCGCCGCCCGCGUUCCCGCUGCUCUUCUUUCCUCUGUGCAGCUACUAUGUUUGCAGCACAGUCAAUUCAACUGGAUCUGUAUCAGCAUUCCCGGUAUCUUAUGAUGAACUUGUAGUUUGGACCCUUUUAUGAGCAAUGCUGUUUCUAUUAGGAUUUUCGUAUGAUUGCUAGGGUGGGCUUAUGUGAUGCUCUAGAUCUGUAGAUGAACCAUUCAUUUGCUUGCUUCCAAAGAUGAAAGUAGAUGUGUCAUACUAAAAUGAGUACUAUUUGUGUCCUUGUUGAAGCAAUAUAGAUUUAAUCUCUUAGGAGCUGCUCUUCAGUACACAACAUUACCCUUCUAUACAUCAAAUAUUUUGUUGUAGCCGUUUUCAUUUUUGUUAUCGAUUAUUUUCAUGUAUCAGUUGCCUAGGAGUCUUCCUGUAUGUGAUGCAAUUUAUUUUCUUCUAUAGCGCAAUAAAUAUAUUUUCCAUUACUGGUAAAUUUGAUUUUACAUUUUUUCCGUGCAUAGGAUGCUUUUGCUAUCCAAAGCAACGAGCGUGGAAUUGCUGCUCGUGACAGUGGUGCUUUUGCAUGGGAGAUUGUUCCGGUGAUUUUCUCUCUUUCUUGGAUCUAGAUAUUAUAUGUUUUGUUUGGUUUUUUCUUAUGCUCGAUGUUUUGUGAACCAGAUUGAAGUUUCUGUUGGGAGGGGAAAACCACCUGUACUUAUCGAAAAAGAUGAAAGCCUGGACAAGGUAAUUUUCUCAUGUAACAAAGUUGUUAUGAACGAAAUAAAAUUUGUAGUUGGUUACGAACAAGGUAAUUACUGGUAUGCACUUUUAUCAUAAUUCUUGCUUCGCAGGAGUACAAUGGGCCUCCUUACAUAAAAAGCUUUCCAAACAGUUAUUGUAAGGUCAAUGCACAUGACAGUUUUACUUGUGUUAUUUCUAUGUCUCUUAGUUUGACCCCGUAAAACUUAAGAAACUCCGCCCAAGUUUCAAGGAGAAUGGUGGUACUGUUACAGUUACAGCUGGAAAUGCUUCUAGUGUAAGGUAUAACUGCUUGAUAUUUAUUUUAUUUUGUAAAAUGUUUAAGUUUUUCAUGCAAUAUGCUGUUUUUUUUAAAGGUCUGAGAAACAGAAUAUUUCAUUGUUAACAAUUAACUCUUUUAUUAUAUCAUGCAUGCAUUCUGUUCUUUUUUGUUGUUUUCAUAUUUGACUUCUGUUUGUACUUACAAAUUGCUUCGCCUAUUUAUGUUUGACUGCUUGUUAUGCUCUAAAUUAUAAUUAAUUUCUUUAUGAUUGUAACAUAAGUUGGUGUAGAUAAUUUAUAUCAUAUAAGAAAAUAAAAAUAUCUUUGUAAUGCCUCAUUCCCAUUAAAUCAAGGAAAAUUAGCCUACCUGUAUAAUUUUUUCUCGGUUGUCAUAGACGCUCUUUCAUUACACUUUGCACUGUAUAUUUUUCCCCUUGACUGGUACUGUCAAGUGUGCUGCCUACUGUUCGCUUGUGUAGGCUUCUGCAAUUAGUUACACCUAAUUUGUUUUACGUGGAUCAGUGAUGGAGCUGCUGCAUUAGUCUUGGUGAGUGGGCAGAAGGCUCAAGAGCUUGGCCUGCAAGUCCUUGCAAGGAUAUGCAGAUGCAGCUCAAGUAAGCUAUAGUAACAGCUAUCUCAUUUAAGAGUAGUGUACGCUUCUAGAUAUAUCAUCAUGAUCUUAAUAUUGAAGGAUUGAGGAAGUUAUUUUCUCUUGAACAGUUUAUGCUACUAUUUUAGAUAUCAAAUUUUAUCAAUUCCUGCCAUUCGUAUUCUAAAAUAGUAACUUUUCAACUAUGAAUGUUGUUUAUACAGGCUCCAGAGCUUUUUACAACCACUCCAGCACUUGCCAUACCAAAGGCUAUCGCAAAUGCUGGAUUAGAGUCAUCUCAUGUUGAUUUUUAUGAGAUUAAUGAAGCCUUUUCGGUAUGUAUUGAGAGUUUCUUUAACUGGUUACUUAUCUUUUGAUAACAAUAUCUAUUUUUACUUCUCAAUACAGGCCGUUGCACUUGCAAAUCGAAAGCUUCUCGGGAUUCCUUCAGUAAGUGACACCUAUAUCAAACUACCAUUCAUUUUAAAACAUCUAUUUCAGAAAAUACACCCUGGUUCAUUUGUUAUUUGCUAUGCAGCUGCAACAUUUAGUAGCAUCAGCACUUGUUCUUGAGCUCUCAUAAGAAAUACCGACCUGUAAGACUGAGCACUUGUUCUUGAGCUCGCAUAAGAAAUACUGACCUGUAAGACUGAGCAUAUUGAUUCUGAUGAGUAAUCAUUCAAUCUUACAAAUAUCUAGUUCCUCAUAGUCCUUGUUUCUUUUUAAACUGGUCCUCAGGGAGGAGGUGGAGCAUCAGCACUUGUUCUUGAGCUCGCAUAAGAAAUACUGACCUGUAAGACUGAGCACUUGUUCUUGAGCUCGUAUAAGAAAUACUGACCUGUAAGACUGAGCUUUUGCGUUUGUGUUUUGUUGACAUAUAUAUGUCAUUUAGACUAUGGAUUUCAUGAUUGCACGUAUUGGAUGUAUUUCAUGAUUGUGUGAUGAUGUAUUUCAUGAUUGUGCUUAUGGAUGGUUAUUUUUAUGUUAAUUAAUAAUUAUUUGUAAUUCUGGAAAACUUUGGAAGAUGCUGCAGCUGUUUUUUUUAGCAGGCGUCCAGCUCAGCCAACGAAAAUAUUGCUUCUAUUUUCGUGGGCCAACAAAGCCGACGAAAAUGCGUUCAUUUUCGUCGAUUUUAUUCUGUCGGCCUAUUUUCAUCGGCCGACUGAUGAAUAUAUAUAUUUUCGACGGCUUUCUGGCUAUUUUCGACGGUUUCUAGCCGACGAAAAUAAGCUAUUUUGUUGUAGUGAUCCUUGAAUGUCAUGACCCCUUAGGCUUUGUUCGAUUAUACUGGAUUUAUUCCGGUCAGAAAUUAUAGGUAUGUUGUCGGUCGAAACCCGCUGGCGAGCAGCGACAGGCAACACGAGGAACCGGCAGGCUUUCGGAACUGCUAGUGGGCCCCGGUCCCUCGGUCAACGGCCCGAAAUCUGGCACACGUCCUGGCUUCUGGGUUGCUAGGCAUGCCACCUGACCUUGUACCUGAUCAGGAAGAUGUUAUAUGUUAGUUUCUUGUAUGCACAGAUACAUACAAACAUUAGUCCGAGCCGAGCCGUGAUCGGCUCAUCGGGUGACACCCUAUAUUGGUUGUAAAGAGAUGAUUGUGUUCAGUACUAGAUCGGAUCUAUAAACAAAGCAAGUAUAUCCGAUGAUAGCAUAAAUCUUGCCAUGUAACCACUUAGCUAAUCCAAUCUACGACGGUUGAAGCCUUCACUGCAUAACUGGAACAUCCUACACGUAAUUGAGCCUGACAGAUACGGAAGAUAAUGAAACAACAACCUAAACAGAGGCCUAAAAACCAACUGAAAGCCGAUUCCCAGAACAAUCCCUUUUUAAGCUGUUAUAAAGCACCAAACGUACUGCCGGAAUAUUCAACCCGUUUGAAGGGCCUAAUCAUGCAGAUAUUAAACUAAAUCUUCGAUGAACAAAGAUUAACCAUAACAGAUUGGAUCUACUAAAUAAGAACAGAGCAAGGCGUUGUCCUUAUAUCCGAGAUCGGGCAUAGGGACAGCUAAACGUUUACAGGUAACAAACGAUGCGUGAAUAAGGAAUGAAAGAACCGAUGCUACUCUAUAAACAUUAAGAUAACUAGUGCUACUCGUCAUCAAUAACACUUCAGAACGAGAAACACGAAAGGUAAAUAAUCAAGGACAAUGCUGCCCCGAUCACACAGGGCAUGAUCGGGGCCGCAUGGCACUUACUCAAGAAACCCUAGAACAGGGGUGGCGAUGCGCCGAGAGUUGUUGGUGAAGGAUUGAUUCGAUUCCUUUAUUGAUUAUCCAGUGUACAUAUUUAUAGUCCGUAGACUUGCCUUUCCUAACCAAUCCUAACUAAACACGACAUGAAUCUUAACUAUCUCUAUCUAAACUAUUUAAACACACAUGCCUAUCUAGAUACAUGGCCAACCUUGACCUCAAAUACCUGUAUAAGGUCCGACUCGCAAGCCCACUAUGACUAUCCUUCGAGCCCAUCUUGCUCCUCGGCCCACCUUUCCGGCCCGCCUGAAUUAUGGCGAUAACACAUGCCCCCCUAGUUUCGGCAAUAAUUAUUCCGAAACCAUUUUUCCUUUAAUCGCACCGCCUCUUCGACUUCCGAAAUCCGUACAGGCGUGCCUCUUCAACUUUCAUGGGAUGUGACUGCAUCAGGCUCCUUGGAAACCGCUAUGGUGCCGAUUCAUCUUCCACUUCAUCUUUAUAAACCUACCCCUGGUAACUUUCUUUUAAUCGUCUUCUCCCUUCAGCCAUUCGCAACCAUACCUAAUUCGAUUUUCCUCUUCUCGUAGUGGCUUCUUCCUCUUCCUCUGCUUCUUCCGCCAUCUCCUUCGAGUCUGAAUCCACUCGAGAGCCUACUCCAGAAUACGACCUUAUAGCCGCCUACGAAGUCCUUGCCCCCCUGCAUUGGGAUGCGGAGGAAUGGGACUUCCAAUCUUGGUCAGAGGACGACGAGUCCCUGACCGACGGCGAAGACCUCCACCUACUCCUUGGUGAUGAGCUGGAGGAAGAUGACGAAGAUGAUGCAUCCUGGGAAGAAGACUUCUCCUCCUCCUCGGAAGAAGAAGAAGCCGAUUCCUCCUCAACCGAGGAGGAUUCAGUAGCAGGAGACUUCCUCCUUGGCGGAUCGUUGGAGGAUGAUGAUGACGACGACGACGAAGAAACCGAAGACAACAGCGGCUUCACCAGUAGCAGCAGCGGAGAUGAUGUUGGCGACGUCAACGGCAGCGGCGGCGAUAGCGAUGUCAGUACGGCUCCAUCGACCAAGCGCCGCAGGACCUCCGGCGUCUACUGGUGGUAGACUGUAGUAUUAAGCCGGUAGAUCGGCUCUAGGAGCAAUCGGCUCCCCUUUUGUACUCACUCCCUAUUGUAAAUAAAAUCUUCUUUUUCAACCACGACUCGUUUAAAAGCCGAUACGUUAAGAGCCGAUGGCAACGCAUCGGUUCCUUUCCUCAAAAGAUGCUGAUCCGGAUCCAAACCAAUUCCCCAAUUCAUUUCAUUUUCCGCUUAAAUCUGGAACCUUCCCCAAAAUAGAUCUCCGAAGAUUCCCCGAAUCCAAGUUAUUCUCCAAAACCCUUUGCUCAUAAACCCUAGUCAUAAGAUCCGGACCAAAGCCUUAGAACUUGAACUCGAUCCUGCGCCACCAACCCUAGAUCUAGUCCCCGAGUCCUCGAUCUUCGUCACGGUUUCCGAUGGCGGAUUCUCCGAACACCGAUGCGAAUGUCUUUGGUCUGAAGGUAAGACUCCGACCUUUGCUAUUUUAAUGCAACAAUUACGAGAUUCCCUGUGCCAUUAAAUGACCUUUCUCCGAUUAUUUGGCUUUCAUGGAUUUCUUCAGGUUUUGGAUAUCCUCUUGCCACAUCCUUCUUCCCCAAUUUUUUUUGUCUCAGGUCUUGUUUUUAUGAGAAACCCGUAGAUCUGAUUUCUUGCGAGGCCAAUCGAAUUCCAUUCGUGGGCCAAAAUAUAGAUCUAGAUUCCUGGUUCGACAGCCUCCGUGCCUGGCCAAACCCUCCUGAGGGCUGGGUAACUUGGUAUAACAGAGUGGCGAACACCUACUAGCCCACAUGGGAGUCCGUAGGGAUAGCCGAUGCUCUGUCCCUAUCUCUAUCCCCUCUUGAAAAGAACGAGAACCUUCUGAAGACCAUCGGCUACUUUUGAUCCGAUGCCUUGAACUGUUUUCUCUUUGGUCAUGGACCGAUGACUCCAACCCUUCUGGACGUGAUGAUGAUCACUGGUCUGGACAUCUCAUCAACCUGUCCCUCUGCCUACAGGCUAUCUGAAGUUCCUUUCAAGUUGUCUUCCAAAGCAGAGUGCACAAACUGGUGUGCAUACCUGAAUCAACACCUAAAAACCAAAGGCCUUGUGAUAGAGAAGGAACACACAGCUUUCUUGAAUCUUUGGUUAGAGCACUUCCUAUUCUGUGGUCCUUCCAUUGCUCCAAUCAAGAAUUAUCUCCCUCUAGCGUAUGAGCUGGCCAAAGGUCACACUGUUGGCCUUGGUAAAUUAUUCCUUGGAGAAAUCUACAGAUACCUUCAUCUGAUGUCUUUGAGCCUUCUUUCCUAGAAAAAACUUCGGACUGGUGGUCCUUGAUGGUUCAUCCAAUUGUGGGCUCACCUUUACUUUCAGGACUUCUUCCCAAAUUUUCCUUCUUUGGCCAAUAACUCUUUCCCGGACCGAAGUGGGAGGCAGAUCAGAUGCACCAGCUUCGGCCAGGCUUUGUACAGCCUCCUUGGCGGCAAGUUGAAUCCCUCAGAUGCUUCAUAAUGGUUUAGGAUUUUCUAUAGGGGCCUGAACAACCCAAUCUUCCUUCCCUACACUGAAUCUGAAAUUUUCGAGAACCCGGCCACCUUCAGGUUGGCUGAUUUUACCGAUGAUGUCGACACCCGGCGCCUGUAUUCUGUCAUGAUUCGCCUUUGCCUCCUCCCAGUCGGCAUGAGUACUUCCAACCGGAUCAUCAAACCAUGAUAUGAGUUCUAUCAGCCGGUUGUAGCAGCCCGGCAGUUUGGCCUUGGGUAAGUUCCUCCUCACUUCCUCCUUCAUCAUUUAACAUCCAACAGAAUCGACCUGCCUGAUGCCGUCACCACCCAAAGAUGCUACAACCUAUUUUCAGACCUUCUCAUCCCAAUCCCUGUUGACCUCACGUUCACCUCUUCGGCCAUCGACUUCGAGAGCUGGUGGUCGAUGUGGAAGACCCAUGUCUUCCAGAAAGCCCUAGGGCCGAUGCUGCAGCAGAUUCAUGCUGAGUAUGAAGUCCCUAAGGAAGAGGUAUUUCUGUCAGCCCAUCGUUCUUCCUUCUGACUUCGCUGAAUUCCUUUUCUGAUUCCAUUUGCUCUUUUUGCAGCAGGAGGAUGGUUCGGAGCCCAGGAACGAUGAUGGAUCUAACUUCCAGUUUUUGCCAGUUGCCCCUGUCGGUGUUUUACCGGCUGCCCACCGAGGGGUAUACCCGAGGUGGUAAGUUUAGGUGAAGAGAUGCCGAGAUCAGGAACUCGAAGGUGCAAGGAACACAAGAUUUUAGACAGGUUCGGGCCGCGAGGCGCGUAAUACCCUACGUCCUGUAUGGUGGUUUGUAUUCCCUUGGGUGUUGAUGUUGUGUUUUGAAUGGGUCCCUGCCCCCACUUAUAUAUCCGGGAGGUCAGAGUUACACGGAUCUAGUCAAUACUAGCCAAGGAAUCGUACCCGGGUAUAACUCGGGUAGUUUUCUUCUGUACCGACUAGCCUUAUCUCCUGCUCAAACGAGUAGAAAACAAAAUAAAUAAGAGAUAAGACGGGCUUUAUCUUUUAACCCAAUUUAAACUACGUUAUGUACACAGCCCCGUAGCCCCGGGUCUGACAAGCCCCCGAGCUCUUCGUAACUGAGUACUGCAGGCUUCUCGAGUACUUUCGAAGCAAUCUUUGGCUUCUCUUGAAGUUCCGUCUUGAAGUUCUUCUUCGAGUACUUUCUUGGCUGCAUCGAAGCUAUGAGGUGCUCAUGCCCCGAAUUACUUCUUUGGAAUGAUGUGCGAUUGAAAAAUCGCACUCCAUAUGGAGUAGCCCCCGAGCCUUAGGUUGCAUCGUUGAAUCAGACUGAGGGUCGCAUUAGUCUUGAAUCUUCCUUACUUACUUUUCAAAUAAAUUUGAAAAAAUAAGUAGUCGAUGCCACAUAUCCCACGGCCCCCGAGCCUUGGAUCCAAAUCUCUUGGGUUUGGAAAUAAGGAUCCAAAAGUCGUGGCAUGCAGUGAAAAAAUGUCCAUAUGGUAAAUAACUGGUGUGAUGGUACAAAUGAUGGAAGUUAGAUCUGGAAUUCGAAAAACCCCUUUUUUCGGGACAGUUAACCCUGCAAAAAUGAUUAAUCGAAUAUUUUAUCGAAAUAAUCCACCAAAUGACCCCUUAGCUACCGAAUAUUCCCUGAAACGACUCUUCAACUUUGAAAUAGUAAAACUUUAUCCAGCCGCUGGGUAUUUAACCCCGCGGUAACGCCAAGUAAAAAUUAUGCUUCCAAUCUGCAAUCCGCCAAGAACUUCCCAAAUCCCCCAAAUAGAGCCGCACUCCGCCUUCACCCUCUUGGAGAGCCCCAAUCCAACCAAAAUCUCCCCACCCCUUUCCCCGCAGCCCCUGAGCAACUCGUGGCGAGCGGAUCUGGAAAUGGCGCCCAAGAGACUGGAGAAGGAUGGGAAGAAGAAAGAGGCGCAGCCGCCGGCCGGGGAGUGGACUCACAGUAAGUGCUCCAUCAACGAUCUCAAUAAACUUGUUUCCAAGGGAUUGCUCUAAGACAGGAGUCUUGUCAACUGGCGCCCCUCUUUUCGCGAACCUUUUCCCAUGGAAAAUGUAGACGAAAUCGUCACAUUUUACCAUUUUGCCGAACGGGGUCUGGCCCUCCCCUCUUGCUCUUUUUUCGGUGGCCUUCUUUAUUUCUACGGGCUUGAACUCCAUCAUCUCAACCUGAAUUCUAUUUGUCAUAUCACAAUCUACAUCCAUUUCUGUGAAGCCUUUCUCAUAAUUGUACCCCAUUGGGAUCUUUUCCGCUUCCUUUUCCGGGUAAAACCACAACCCACAUCCAAAAAUCUAUCCAUUGUAGUAGGCGCCGGCAUCCAGAUUAGACAGCAAGCCGGCGAUAGGUACCUCUCCUAUAAAUUCCCCUCCAACAUUCCUGGAUGGAAGAACCACUGGUUCUAUAUUGAAAACCAUGCUCCCCAACUUCCUGAAAAAUCUGGCAAACCCCCAGUCGUGAGGCCAGAGUGGAACACCGAGCUCCCCAGAGUAGACCUGGACCAAGUCGAUGAGUUGUUAGCCAUCAUAGUAGCUCAUAAAGAAAUAGGGGUGACCGGAGCAUCCGUAAUGUUCUCUUUCUUCAAGCGCCGGAUCCAGCCACUCCAACAACGCCAUACCUUAGGCUUCGAGUACAUAGGUGCUGAAGAUUCCUCUCAGAUGUGCGCAGAAGAACUGUCUGAUGACGCCGCACUCACCCGGGUCAGGCGAGUGCUGCUAGACGUGGAUGCGGUUCCCUACGUCCCGUAGCUAUUUUUUGGCAUAAAAUUCUCCAAAACCAGUAAGUAUUCGACUACUUUGUAUUGAAAACAAGUUCUGCUCUGCCACUACUAACUGAAAACCUUCUAUAGGGACACACAGAGUUGUACCGGAGCUACCCUCCGCAACCCGACAUCCCUCGAUCGGACCACCUUCUCCCCAGCACCGCAGCCGAAGCGAAGAAAGCUCGAGCAGCCGAGGCACUGCCGGGCAGCGAGACCACGGAAAGCGGGAGCCUCCUGGUGGAAAGGGAAGCCGAGGGGGAGGCGUGAAGGGACAACUCCCCCGGACCAUCCGUGGAGUUGACCGAAACUCUACCUUCGGUUCUGAAGGGUCGUCGGGUUGUGCGCAAACGGAAAGCGCAAGUAGUCGAGUCCUCCAGGUAUGAAUUUCCUGCCUUGUUGUCAUAUAUCGGUAUUGUUGCAUGCUGACAUUAUCCUUCUGCAGUCCACCUGCUUCUCCUGCCGAGCCCGAGCGCCAAGAGGUGGGAACGGAUCCAACAGCUUCUGCGACAGGAGCGGUUACCGUUGCCGUGGUGGGCACCGCGCCACCAGCUGGUGUGACCCCGCCGCCAGCAAUGAGUACCGUGGUUGAGAUGCCAUGGGCUCUAAGAGUGAGGAAAGCUGUCAUGAAGAAGUCUUCGCUGUAAGUAUACAUCUCUCUUUUUUUUGCACAAUAAACAUCCUGUCCUUCUCGACUUGUAUAUAAUAAUAUAACUGAUUCCUGCUUUAUUAGGUCUGCAAGCGACAUGAGGUACCAGCCAAAGCCUGCCGCAGCAACCCCAGCCUCCGAGCCACCAGCCUCAGAGGAGCCCACGCACAAGGAGCCAGCCUCCGAGGCGGACACAACGCUACGGACCUGCCACCCCGCAAGCCCCAACAAGCCGAAGCCAGAGCUGGUGGUGAGGAACAAGUCGAGGCCCCUGAAGCCGCUCGUGUAGAUGGCACAGGUAAGUGUUUAACCGCCGAAGGCUAGCUGCUUAGACCACAGACAGUAUGUACUGAAUGCAUCUUGACUCGCAGCUGCCCAGCAACCACCUUCUGAAGAAACCGAAGGGACCUCAAGGAGCCCUGGAGAUCUGCUGAUGGCCGGACGCGGAUACCAGAACAUCAUCACCACAGAUAUGGUGCAUGAUCCAAUGCUGAGGGACGACAACAUAAAAACCUUCAAGAAGGCCUCCAAAGAGUUGUACGAUUUUACCCUGGUAAGACAUGAUUACUCUUCUGGCAGUAUACGUUGUUGAGUUGCUUGUCUUAAUCUCCCUCCUUAUGCAGAAUGUGAUCAAGCACUCACAAAAGAAGACCGAGAAACUGAAAGCAGUUGUGGUGGCCACCAGGAGCUCGCUACCAAGGACAAACACAUAUCCGAGGAGCUGACGAAGAACAUAUAUCUUCGGAGAGAACUUGACAAGCUGAAGCAAGAGCGGACUUGAGAGACAUGGCUCCUCAAGAAUGACCUGCGCAAUCUCGAGGAACAACUCAAGGAACAAAAGAAGGUUCAGCAAGGCAAGCCCUUACUUCCCUCGAGUACUUCCACUUAAUAAUUUAUCUUGGAUUCUGAAAAUAUCUUCACCGCAGAGCUUAGGAAAAUCUUAACAUAUAAAGAAGAGCUGCUUAAUGACGUGAAGAAUAUGCUGUAUCGCCGCACAAAUGAUGUCGAGAGGCUGCAGAAGGUCAUCGCCGACACCGAACAACAGUUCGCCAGCUGCCUUCAGCAGAUCAAGACGCUGGGCGAAGAGAAGGAGCAGCGGCAAAAGGAGCUGGAGGACCUCAAGGGAGCUACCAAGAAGCUUGUGGACAUUGUGGACCCACAAGAAGAUGGCGAAGAAGGCGAGCGGCCCUUGCUGGAGCGACUUCUCAGAGCGCCGCAGAAGGUCGUCAAGUUCCUCACCGAAGCCCGGUCGCGUGUGUCAGCCACGCUCUGUCCUUUGUAAAAUCUUUUUGGCUGGAGGCUCGACUAGAAGUAUUUGCGCAGGGUGUGGCUGCGGAGUGUUCCGAAGAACAAUUCAACGAGUACCUCAAGGAAGCCCAACCUGUAGCAGAACAAAUAGUAAAAAGUGUACUACAGGAUUGAGAUGUAAAAAUGAGUACUCGUUUCAUUGUAUAUAAUUGUCUUUGAUAUGUCUACUUGUGUGUGUCUCGGCUGAAUUGUCAUCCAAGUUCGAAGGCAAAGUAGUAGACACCACUCCGGGAGCGGCAACCCUGGGGGUAGUCGUUGUAGCUCCGAGUAGGAACCCAUCCAACAGGUUAGACAUAGCCCGAUCGAGCGGGUCUAACCAGUUAGGGAAGAACACGAGCAUCAUCGCAAGACUGCCGUGCUUAUGGCAAGAAAUCAAAAUUACCCCGAGUGCAACGACUCUGGGCGUAGUUGAAAUAGCUCCUCGUGUGAGCCCGUCCAACAAGUUAGGUGUAACCUGAACGUGCAGGCCUAACCUGUUAGGAAAGAACACGAGCAUCAUUGCGAGACUGCCGUGCCUAUGGCAAGAAAAACGAAACUACCCCGAGUGCAAUGACUCUGGGCGUAGUCGAAAUCGCUCCUCAUGUGAGCGUGUCCAACAAGUUAGGUAUAAACCAAUUGAACGGAUCGAAUAUGUUGGGAAAGAUGCGAUCGUCAUCGCAAACGACCCUUGAAGGUCAUGGCGAAAGUCGAUUCUUAAAAAGCAUGAACGUGGCCGUAGCCUCCGUCAAAACUUAUAAUAAGAAGUCGAUAAAACAUGAAUGUGGUCGUAGCCUCCGCCUGUUAACAGAAAAAUUUACAUUCCAAAUUUUGUGACACGUAGCCUCCAAAUUGAUUCGUAAGAAAAAAGGCCGCCUAGGCGUCCGGAGAACAGCUAUCCCCGCACGCUUCCUCAUGGGUAGAACUUGCGUAGGUUCUGAAUGUUCCAAAAAUUCGGGACAUCCUGGCCCUCGGGGUACUAUAGUCGAUACGACCCCGGUCUUGUAACCUGCUUGACAACGAACGGGCCUUCCCACCUUGAGUUGAGCUUGUGUAAGCUGGACUCGUCUUGGACGCGGCGUAGGACCAGAUCACCUAUAUUGAAUGACCGUUCCCUCACAUUGCGAUCAUGAUAUCGCCGAAUCCUCUGCAGGUAUCGAGCUGACUGAACAAGAGCGGUGCAGCGAGCCUCUUCGACAGAAUCGAGCUCUAAUUGCCUUGCUUCGUCCGUCUCGCCUUCAUUGUACAUUUCAACCCUUGGGGAUUUCCACAUGAUGUCGGCCGGCAAGAUAGCUUCAGAGCUGUAGACGAGGAAGAAUAGUGUUUGUCCUGUGGCUUUGGACGGCUGAAUCUGGAGCCCCCAGAUGACAUUUGGCAACUCGUGUAUCCACUUUCCUUCUUUCUUGCUGUUUUCAUCGUAGAGUCUUUUCUUGAGGCCAUCAAUUAUCAUGCCGUUUUCCCUCUCGACUUGACCAUUGGCCCUUGGGUGUGCGACAGAGACAUAUUUGACCUCGAUGCACGCAUUUUCACAGAACUUCCAAAACUGGUUGGUCGUGAAGUUUGAUCCUAGGUCCGUGAUGAUGGCAUUUGGGAAGCCGAAGCGAUGCAAGAUAUCGGAGAUGAAAUCAACAACUCGAUAUAGUGUGAGCUUGGCUAUCGGCUUGUACUCGAUCCACUUGGUAAACUUGUAGAUAGCCACCAAUACAUGGGUGAAACUGCCUGGCGCCAUUGUGAAGGACCCAAUCAUAUCAAGGCUCCAGCAAGCAAAAUGGCCAGGACGGCGGUAUGGUGAUGAGACUGUGAGCUGGGACGUGAGAUUGCUUGCCAAAGAAUUGACAGUUUUGGUAUCUCCGCACAAGGUCCUCAGCAUCGGACACUGCGGUGGGCCACCAGAAACCAGCUCUUUAUGCUUUCCCCACCAGCAUUCGUGAGGCUGCAUGGUUGCCGCAAACGCCCUCAUGUAUCUCCCGCAAUAGUCGUAGCCAUCUUCUUUCAUGACACACUUUAUGAGGACACCUGAUCGAGCGCCACGCCGAUAAAGCUUGUUGUCGACUAGGAUGAAACCCUUACUUCUGCGCAUGACACGAGCUGCCCCUGCGCUUCUUGCGUCCAUCCCUGCUGGUAGUAUGUGAUCCUGGAUGAAAUCGAUAUAAGCCUCUGUCCAGUCCUCUCCCAUCAUCAUAACCUCCCGAUCAGGCUGUUGAAGGCCCGCAUCGGUGGUUACCUGAGGUGAGGACUUGAUGGAUGGCUACUUUAACUCCUGGACGAAGACUCCCGCUGGAACCUGUGCACGAGUAGACCCUAACUUGGAUAGUAUGUGUGCGCCAACAUUAUGUUCCCGUACCACAUGAUGAACCUCUAGGCCAGAAAUUUUUUUUUCCAGCUUGCGCACUUCUUGUACAUUAGCGUCCAUCAUCUCCUUGUUGCAGUCCCACUCUUUGUUGACUUACUGAACGACUAGAAGUGAAUCACCAUAUACAAGAAGUCGCUUGAUGCCUAGAGAUAUCGCCAAACGUAGCCCGUGAAGGAGUGCGUCAUACUCGGCUUCAUUAUUGGAUACCUCCCAAAGGAUCUGGAGGACAUACUUCAAUUGUUCACCUCUUGGAGAAAUAAAUAGAACUCCAACACUGCCACCAUCAGGCUUAAGAGACCCAUCAAAGUACAUGGUCCAGUGCUCUGGUUUGUCGACUGGAGUUGGAAUUUGAUUCUCCCUCCACUCAGCCAUAAAAUCGAUUAGAGCUUCAGACUUGAUUGCAGUGCGUGGCUUGAAGUCGAUAGACAAAGCCCCCAGUUCCACUGCCCACUUUGAUAUACGCCCCGUGGCAUCUUGAUUAUGGAGAAUAUCCGCCAACGGAAAAUCCGUAAUCACAGUGAUCCUGUAUUCAUCGAAGUAAUGGUGCAACUUUCUUGAUGUAAUCAGAAUUGCAUAUAAAAUUUUCUAAACUGCCCGGUAUCGUACCUUGGAUUCAGAGAGUACCUCGCUGACGAAGUACACAAGCCUCUACACCCCAAAUGCAUGGCCUUCCUCGCUGCACUCGACUACAAUAGCACUGCUGACAACAUGAGUUGUUGCCGCAAUGUAGAGUAGUAGAUCUUCUCCCGGCAAUGGUGCUGUAAGGACUGGAGGAGACUGAAUGUGAUGAUUCAGGUCUUGCAAGGCUCGCUCGGCCUCCUCCAUCCACUAGAACUUGUUUUGGUGCUUCAGGAGCUUGAAGAAGGGUAGUCCUCUCUCCCGGAGCCGGGAGAUGAACCUGUUCAGGGCUGCCAUACAGCCUGUUAGCUUCCGCACAUCUUUGAUUGUGGCCGGAGCCCCCAUAUCAGUGAUGGCCGAAAUCUUCACAGGAUUGGCUUUAAUUCCCCGGUUGCUGAUGAUGAACCCGAGCAAUAUCCCUGAUGGUACUCCGAAAAUGCAUUUAGUUGGGUUGAGCUUCCAAUGAAACCUACGUAGGCUGCUGAACGUCUCUUCCAAGUCUGCAAUCAGACCUUCAGAAUUUCUGGUCUUGACAACCACGUCAUCCACGUAGGCUUCAACGUUCCGAUGCAUCUGAUCAGCAAAGCACAUCUGAAUGGCGCGCUGAUAGGUUGCUCCUGCGUUUUUCAACCCGAAGGACAUAGUUUUCUAGUCGUACGUCCCAAACGGAGUGAUGAACGCAGUUUUGAUUUGAUCUUCCUUCUUAAGUGCAAUCUGGUGAUACCCUGAAUAACAAUCAAGGAACCAGAGGAGUACACAACCUGCUGUCGAGUCGACGACUUGAUCAAUGCGCGGUAGCCCGAAGUGAUCCUUUGGGCAAUGCUUGUUGAGAUCGGUGUAGUCAACACACAUCCUCCAUUCAUUAUUGUUUUUCUUUACAAGGACGGGAUUAGCUACCCACUCUGGAUGAAUUACUUCUUUGAUGAAGCUAGCCACGAGAAGUUUAGCUAUUUCCCGUUUAAUUGCUUCACGCAUGUCGUGAGCAAAUCUUCGAAGGCGUUGCUUUUUGGGCACAGCCUGUGGGUGUACAUUCAGACUAUGCUCGAUCAGUUCCCUGGGCACCCCUGGCAUAUCCGCUGGUUUCCACAUGAAUAUAUCUCGGUUGGCCCAAAGGAAACUGACGAGCGCGAGUUCCUAUUUCUCAUCUAAGCCCGCGCCAAUGACAGCGGUCUUAGAUGAGUCACCCUCCUGGAGCUGGAUCGACUUGAGGGCCACGUCACCAGUCGACUGGAUGCUCGACUUGCUGGCCUUUCUUGAAGGGAUCUCCAGCUUGGCUUGGGAGAGCUGCUACGCGGCCGCGAAUACUUCCCCUGAAGCAUCAGGCACACGCGUAGUCGAAGCAUAUUGGAUCGCCUCCUGAUUGCAAUCAUAUGACUUCUUCAAGUUGCCUCGGAGAGUGAGUACCCCACUUUAUCCUGGCAUCUUAAGAAGUAGAUAAACAUAAUGCGGCACUGCCAUAAAUUUGGCGAGUGCCGGACGGCCCAGUAUGGCAUGAUAAGAAGAUUCGUAGUUAGCUACUUUUAAUUUAAUAAACUCGGUGCGGUAGUUCUCCCUCGUGCCGAAGGUGACUGGAAGAACCACCGUGCCAAGUGGGUGCACCGCAUUACCUGGGACAAUACCGUAGAAAGGAGACUUGCUUGGAACUAGCAUGUCCGUGAAGUCCAGACCCAUCUUUCUCAAAGUGCUGGCGAAGAUGAGGUUGAGACCACUCCCACCAUCAAUGAUCACCUUGGUGAGCCUGACUUCUGCCACCAUCGGGUCCAGGACCAGGGGGAACUUACCGGGCUCCGAAAAGCUUGUUCACUGAUCAUCAUGGGGAAACGAGAUGGGCACCUCUGACCAGCGGAGUGGUCGUGGCACCGCCGGCUCAACGGACAUGAUCUUCCGGAGAAGCAAUUUCUGUUCCCGCCUGGAACUAAAGUCUCCAUCUCCCCCGAAGAUGACAUUGACGGUCUUUGAAGCAUCUUGGAACUUCACGUUGCGCCCUUGGUCCUCUUGGUCGUCAUGUUCGGGUUCUUUGCCCACUGGCUUCUUCUUGUUCUUCCCACCACCAGAAUUGCUGAAUGUCCUCCGGAGGUGGUAACAAUCGAUUGCCGCAUAAUUGGCACCUGGAUGCCAUGGGCAUUUCUUCUGUAGGAGCUUCUCUAACUCCUCCGGCAUCGUUGACUUCUUGCCUCGCGAGGGAUGAUCCACAGCCGCGAUGAGAUCAUCUGGCUUGCGCUUUCGGGAUGGACCCGAAUAGUCCCGCUGGCUCUUGUCAGUCCGGUUGUCAUGUGGACGCAUCAGAUUGCUGUCAUUGCGCCUCAGGAACUGCUCCCGCAUCUUCUCUUCCUGCUCAGACCAGUCGUGCAUCAUGUCGCGAAGCCCCGCAACAGUCUUCGGCCUGUUCCGCCCGAAGUCUCUGUAGAUGCCUGGAUCAGUGAUGCACGGUGGUUUGUAUUCCCUUGGGUGUUGAUGUUGUGUUUUGAAUGGGUCCCUGCCCCCGGUCCCUGCCCCCCCUUAUAUAUCCGGGAGGUCAGGAUUACACGAAUCUAGUCAAUACUAGCCAAGGAAUCGUACCCGGGUAUAACUCGGGUAGUUUCCUUCUGUACCGACUAGCCUUAUCUCCUGCUCAAACGAGUAGAAAACAACAUAAAUAAGAGAUAAGACGGGCUUUAUCUCUUAACCCAAUUUAAACUACGUUAUGUACACAGCCCCGUAGCCCCGGGUCUGACAGCCCCUGUGGUUCUUUUUGGCAAAAACGCACCUCCCCCUUCUAAAGGCAUCAUGCGGAUCUAGCCCAGCACUGUGAAGUUGACCCCCAAGCGGAAACGGUCUUCUGACACUGUUGCCCCCCCGAGCUCACACUAAGGUGAGAAAGAUGCUUGUCAGGAAAAUUCAGAAGGAAGCUGGGACAUCUUCUACUAGUCAGGAAGCUCCGAUCGCUGGCCAGGUUUGGAUCACCCCUCUCAUAGUUGAUUCUCCGAACAUGUACAUUUUAACUUGACUACUCUUCCCAUUCUUGCAGUCCGUCAUUGUGGACAUUUCUAGUGGGGAGGAACCCGCAUGCCAAAAAGAAGCUCCAGAAGAUUUUCUGACACCGGUCAGCACCUUGGUUACCCCUCAGGAUCCCGUCCCAAAAGCUCUAGAAGGCCCUGCAACGCCGGUUGAUGCUUCGGUCACCCAUCAAGGUCUGCAUGAGCCGGUCGCUGCUGCGUCGGAUGUUAGUCCCUCUCUGGAAGGCCGACCAUCUCCUUGUUGACUGUCAGUCUUCCUCUAAAAGGGGUGCGCCUGCAAGAGCCGACCACUACUUCAUCAGCUGUCACUCCUCCUUCUGAAAGGGUAAAUCCCCAAGAGUCGAUCAUCGCUUCACCAGCUGUCAUUGCUCCUCCUCCAGAAAGGGCGUGUCCUCAGGAGCCGAUCAUUAAUUCAUCGGUUGUUGUUACUCCUCCUCCAGAACAGGUAUGUUUUAUCACCAGAUUGUUCACAUCUUUCUUUGUGCUGCCCUACUCACAUGCCUUCUUUCAGGGCCUAAACCUCUCGGAGUUGCUUGCAUUUGAUCCUGCAUCUGUCAGCUCGGGCAGACUAGAAGUCAACGAUUGUCAUUUGGAUUCGACCAGUGUCGCCAGUCAACUUCUCUGAGUGAAGGGCCUUCUAUCACCUCCGAUCGACGCCUUGGUUCAGGAUUCCAGUGCAGUAAGGCAGAUUCUUGAGCAGAUCAAAUCUCAACUUCCUGCAGUCCUUCAGAUCAAGCUCUAGCCGAUCGGGCACCUCCCUUUCUUUUGGGCAAGAGUAGAAUAGGCUCAUCAUAGGAUUGAGACCCGUCGCUCUCAAGCCCCCUUGAAGGCCAACAUUUCCAAGAGGUGCCGGUCACUUAACGAGAACAAGACGGCUCUGGAUGCCAAGACCAAUACAUCUGUCCAUUCUCAACGGCUUCAUCUUCUGGAGAAGGAAUUAGAAGACCUCAAGACUAGGGUCCGGGCAACCGAGCAGCGCAUCUAAGAAGAAAAAGAUCUUAUUGUCAGCUCCAAACGGAAGCAGAAGCCCUGACCGCUAAACUGAAUGUAGAUCUUGUAGAGCUGAGCGCUUUGAAUAAGUAGGUGGUGUUAGGAGUGGACAAGGAUGACAAAGCAGUGAUUGCUGAGGUUGAUCGUGUCCAUCUUGAGGCCAUUGCUGCCAUCGAUGAGUUCCUUCAGUAGGCUUACUUCUAAUAGAUAAACCUGCAUGUAUUUAUUUUAAGACUCUAAAGUCGAUGGUCACAAAUCGGCUAUUUGAUCGACUCAAUGUGUUAGGUACAAAAUACUUCUCUUUCUCUUUCAUAUAUGUGGGCCGACUGCACGCAUCAGCCUUCUUUCCUUGUACUCGCCCUGCCACAUAUUACUAUUUUCCGCCUGUACGAGUCAUCAGUUUUCGUCGGCUCAUAUCCUUCCACGCCACGUUGGCUUUCUCUUGUUCUGGCCAAUUGAUCAUAUCGGUUUACAGCCUGAUGCAUAGCACUGGCUUUACUGCUCACCAUCCCACAUGCUCAGGAAGUACUUCUUGAGAUGUUGACCGUUGACCGCCACUAGGAACUUGACGCCAUCUAACUCUUCAAGCAUAUAUGCAUUCCCAAAUAGGACUUGAUCAACCCUAUAAGGCCCGUGCCAGUUUAGAGACCACUUGCCAUAUGCUGCAUCUUUAGUUCCCAAUGGUAGCACCGCUUCCCAAACCAGAUCUCCAACUCGGAAUUCCUUCGGCAUGACUUUCUUGUUGUACGCGCGGGCUACUUUGGCCUUAGUUUUUUUUUAUCUUCUCAAGUAACCAAAGCCUUAGCUCCGUGAGGUCCUCAACGUUAUCAUUCAUCAGAGCAGUAUACUCUUCAGCUGUUAGGUCAUUCUAGAACUUUAUGCGCCUCGAGCCAGCCGUAAUUUCCCACGGUAAUACGGCCUCCUGUCUAUAUAUUAGGUGAUAAGGAGAAGUUUUUGUUGCUCCAUGGCAAGAAAUACGGUAUGCCCACAAUGCCUCUGAUAAGACCUCAUGCCAACGCCUAGGAUAUUCAUCAAUCUUCCUCUUGAUCAACUUGAUAAGGCUCUGAUUGGAUGCUUCAGCUUGUCCGUUUGCUUGGGCCUAAUAUGGAGACGACCUGAUCAGCUUGAUGCCCAUCUCGGUAGCGAAUUUCUUGAACUCCUCUGAAAUGAAGACUGAACGUCCAUCUGUUGUAAUGGUCUGAGGAAUCUCGAACCUGUGAAUGACAUGCUCCUUGACAAAAUUAACAAUAUCUUUAGAUGCUACCGACUUCAUGGGAACCGCCUUCACCCACUUGGUAAAGUAAUCUGUGAUGGCCAAAAUAAACUGGUGGCCUUUGCUGGAUGGAGGAUUAAUUUUGCCAGUCAUAUCUAUGCCCCAGCCUCUGAACGGCUAUGGUUUGACGAUAGGGUUCAUUACUGACGCCGGUACCAUCUAAAUCUUCCCGAACCUCUAACAUACCUGAUAUCCUUUAUAAUAUUUAAAGCAAUCUUCAAGCAUGGUGGGCCAGUAAUACCCUGAUUGCCUAAUUAGCCACUUCAUCUUGUGAGCCGAUUGGUGAGUCCCACAGGUGCCUUCAUGGACUUCGUGUAAGAGCCGAUUGGAUUCAACCGGCCCCAAGCAUUUAAGCAGCAGACCUUCUAAAGUCCUGUAGAACAUGUCAUCUCCUAUCAGGACGUAUCUCAUAGCCUUGUAAUGUAUCCUCUUCGGUGCCCCCCGAGCCGAAUCCUUCAAGUAAUUGAAGAUAUCGGCUCUCCAAUCUUCUUGGUCCAAGAGGUGUACCUGAAGAUCGGUUCUGUCUGCUGCAGCCUUGUACCCCGAAGCCAUCUGUGCCAAAUCAUUGGCCUCUGAAUUUCGAGCCCUAGGUAUCCAAUAGACAUUUAUGUACCUGAAUUGGGCUAUCAGCUCUUGACAUUGCACCCAUAACGGGAAUAGCAACUCGCUCUCAUAUCUGUAUUCCUCUGUGACCUGAGAGAUCACCAAUUUUGAGUCCCCAAAAAUUUCCACUGCUUCAGCUUCAGCCUCAAGAAGCAACUCCAUACCCUUACGCACUGCUUCAUAUUCUGCGAGGUUAUUGCUGCAAGCAGUAGGUAAUCCAAUUGAAAAAGAAUACGUUGCCCCCCGAGGCGACACAAGCAGGAUACCUAUGCCACACCCAUCUCCGCAAACCGAUCCAUCAAAGUACAUGGCCAAUGCACGUAUGGAAACUGUUGCUAUGUCAGUAUUGAUCCUUUCUGCGAUAAGGUUUGCCAACGCUUGGCCUUUGACCGCCUUCACGGGUUGGUAUCAGAUAUCGAACUCUGACAACGCAAAUAUCCAUUUCCCAAGUCGGCCUUUCAACAUAGGAGCCGAUAGCAUGUGUUUUAUGACAUCCGAUUUGCAGAUGACAAUUACCUCGGCUGAUAGAAGGAUAUGACGAAGCUUGGUGCGUGUAAAGAAGAAACAAAAGCAUAACUUUUCGAUAUCAGGAUAUCUUGUCUCCGCAUCUGGCAUCCUUCUGCUGAGGUAGAACACAACCCUCUCUUUGUCGUCAUGCACUUGUAUUACAACUGAAGCGAUGGAGGUGUCACUUACUGAUAGGUACACAUAAAAUGGCCUAUCUUGUUGGGGCGGAACAAGCACAGGUGGUUUUGAAAGAUACUCCUUGAUCUCUUCGAAUGCCCGUUGCUGCUCUGCCCCCCCAGCGAAACUCUUCAUUGGCUUCAAUUUUUACCAACUCCAUAAAAGGCUCAAUCCGCCCGGAGAGAUUGGAAAUAAACCUUCUAACAAAGUUGAUCUUACCAAUGAGAUGCUGGAGCUCCCUCCUUGUAGUAGGUGGCACCAUGGUACGCACAGUUUCUUGACUUUUUAGGUCUAUCUCGAUUCCACUUUCAUGAACCAAGAAACCCAAAAACUGACCGGCCGAAACGCCAAAAGUGCACUUCUUCGGAUUCAUUCUAAGCUCGAACCUUCUAGUUCAUUCCAGAACUUGUUGUAAGUCCUCCAAAUGCCCUUCAACCGACGCAGACUUCACCACGACAUCAUCAAUAUAAAUUUCCACCAGCUUGCCGAUCAAGUCGUGGAAAAUGUAGUUCAUGGCACGCUGAUACGUAGCGCCAGCAUUCUUCAACCCAAAAGUCAUAACCACAUAUUCGAACAGUCCCACUGUCCCAAGUACUCUGAAUGCAGUCUUGUUUACAUCCUCGGGAGCCAUAAAGAUCUAGUUAUAACCGGCGUUGUCAUCCAUGAAACUCAAGAUCUUAUGACCGGCAGCCGCAUUAAUUAAUGUCCCUGCAACAGGCAUCAGAUAUUCAUCCUUUGGAGUAGCCCAGUUGAGGUCUCUGAAGUCCACGCAGACUUGCCAUCGGCCAUCUUUCUUCUGCACAGGUACAACACUUGAAAUCCAUUCGGCAUACCUGCAAGGCCUGAUAAAUCCUACUUCUAGCAUUUUCUCCACUUCCUUUUUAACUUCAACCAGGACCUCAGCCUUCAUUUGUCGUGCUCGCUGCUGAAAUGGCCGAAAUCCAUUCUUGAGAGGGAGUCGAUGCUUGACUAUACUCCUGUCCAACCCAGCAUCUCCGUAUAAUCCCAGGCAAAGCAAUCUGCGUACUAUUUUAGCAAAGCUAUCAUUGGCUCUCGUAAACAUGGGCGUAACUUUUUGUUGACAAAUGUUGGUCGUGGCUUAUCCCCAGGACCAAUAUCUAUUUCUUCGAGCUCGUCAGCUGAUGUAAACCCAUAUCCUAAUUUUCUACCAUCUGUUAAAUCAACACUGCAGAUGGACAAAGAAGACAAUAAAAAGAAUUUCGGCCGAUCGUUGAGACUUUACAACAGAAGUAUAGCCGACUGCUAAAGCGGACUUCCCUGUAACUGCUAUGAUCAUGUAAAACACUUGGCAUCAAAAGUUUACACUUUAUUUUUUGGGGCCGAUCGUGGGGAUCGGCCUCACCAAGUUUGUCAGAGCAGCUCGCCCUUUGUAACUCAUCUACUCUGUAAUGCCAGUGGAUAAGACCAGCCUCAUCCCGUUUUUUGUAGCCUCAAUGCGGUCGCAGCCUUCCAAACUGAUCCCCGAUAUCGGCUCUUGGUCUUCCGCAUCCCAGAUGCUCAUGGCAGCAUGCGAGAUCUCGAUUGAGUCAUUUGCAUGAACCACUUCUACCUCAUCUCUAUCCCACUAGAUUAGACAUUGAUGCAUUGUGGAAGGGAUGCAGCAGUUGGCAUGGAUCCAAACCCUGCCAAAUAGGACGUUGUAUGUGCUCUUGCUGUUGACGAUGAAGAAAGAGGUCGGGACAAUCUUGUUUCCAACGGUCAGAUCCACACUAAGGACGCCUUUUGCCUCUGAAGUUUGGCUGUUGAAGUCGCUUAGCGUGACGUUGGUCUUGAUCAAAUCUCCAGCGGACCGCCCCAAGCAGCGUAGCACUGAGUACGACAUUAUGUUAACUGCCAAAUACUAUGUCAACCAACAUCUUGUUAACUGGCUGGCCGUUUAUAUAACCCUUGAGAUAUAAAGCCUUCAAAUACUUGUAGUUCUUUACUUGUGGCUUCUCAAAUAUUACCGGCCGUGGCCCCAAGUCAAGCUGGGCUACUGAUAAUUCCUCACGGCCUCGAGCGUGGAACUCCACAGGGAGCACAAAUAUCAUAUGCGCAUCAGCCGAUGUCUUCGCAUCGGCUUUUGUUGAUCUUGGCCGCCACUCCUUCCUAGGAGGGCGCGACUCCCUUUUCUGCGUGUAGUGAACUUUGUCCGCCAAAUCCGGGUGUGUCUUCCUUAGUAUCUCGAGAUAUUUAGCCUCAGCUUCUUCGAGGCUGCGCAACCGCUAAACCCUGCAUUUCUGUUAGUGGUUAAGUCCAUCAGGGCACCAGCGUGGAUGGUGAUACUUAUCCUCUUCUUCUUCGAAGUCCACCCUUCUUUGUUGUGAUUGAAUCCACUCUUGCUGGGGCAACACGGGUCCCAAACGCCGGAAAGCCGAGACCCCCUCUGCAUCUCGCUUCCGGGAUCCACACUCUGGACAAUCCUUAGUAGUAAGCAAUCGACUCAAGCUGGAAUCCCAACAAUACCUAAAGAACGAGCAAUGCCAAUGAUCACGCGCAUCUUCCUGUUUCUUCAAACUUUUUCCAGUUUGGCAUUCAUACUCUUCCUCCUCUGACUCACGCUGGAGACGCUGCUAGUAUUGGUACUCGUACUUCUUGAGAAGAUCAGAAGAAGCUGGCCGCUAAUUCUUGACAUGCCUUAUCUGCUCUUCUGUGAUAUAUCCCUUUUCUUCUUUUUGGGCCGAUCGCAAGGAUCAGCCAAUUCAUUCUUGGUUCAACGACAUGGUGCAAGCCCUGCCAUGUUAAUGCCGAGUGCGAAGUUUAAUUGCCGCCUCACAGAUCGAUCAGAACCUUCCACCAUGUUCACACUCGGGAAGGGCUGGGUGUCGACCUUCAUGGCGGUUUGGCCCAAGAUCAAUCGGCCUUGCUCAAUAGCCGAUUGAAUCUACCGACGGAGUUCCUUGCAGUCGCUCAUGUUGUGAGUAAAAGAGUGAUGCCACUUGCAAUAUGAUCUCCCCUGCAGUUCCUGCGUCGUAGGAGGCUUGCAACCUUUAGGUAACUUCAACUGUUUUUCCUUCAAUAACAGAUCAAAUAUCUGUUCAACUUUGCUUACGUCGAAGUCAAAACCUUUCGCAGGGCCGUGCUGUUUUACCCACUUACAGGAUAUGGGAUUUGCCCCCCUGAGUCCAUUCUGUGACUGCUACUUCCAAAUCAUCCCUAGAGUCUUCAGCAUCUUCUGUGUCAACUAAUGUCACUUGACGCUUGAACUUAUCUUGGUAUAGCUCUGGGUGGCGCUCCUCAUAUGUCGUUAACUUUUGCACUAAGUGCGCCAAAGAAUUGAACUCCAAUUGGAAAGCCAGAUCCCUGAUCAGCUUUAAUAAUCCCACGGAUGCCAACUCGACCGCCUCCUUUUCCAAAAUACGGGUCGAGUUACAUCGGUUCUUCAUCUCUCUGAAGCGUUGGAUAUAUUCCGCUACGGUUUCCCCACGCUUCUGCCGCACUUGUGCCAAGUUGGCAAUUCCUACCUCUGCAGGUUCCGAGUGAUACUGAAUAUGAAAUUGCUCCUCUAGCUGCUUCCAGGUGCGGAUCGAAUCAGGGCCUAAUGAUGUGUACCAUCCAAAGGCUGGCCCUGUGAGAGACUGCGAGAAAAACCUCACUCUCAAGGGAUUCGACACCGAGAUCAUCCCUAAUUGCGCUAAGUAUCGUCUCAUGUAUCCUUCUGCUCCACUGAAUUUGGUGAACUCAGGAAGCCGAUACUUAGGUGGUAGGGGAAUUAAAUCAUAGUCACUAGGAUACAACUUAGUAUAGCCGAUCGCCCUCCUCUUUGGUAGAAUGCCAAAUUGGUCUCUUAGGAUGGCACUGAUCUGAUCUACUGUCUGCGCUCUAGGGGUCGAGUGCACACUAUCAUGACUCAGCCCGGUGGCAUAGGUAGCUAGCCACGCUUGUUUGUCUGCAUCCGCUCCGAAAACUCCUCCAGCCGCCCUCUAUACUGAGUGUACCGGAUUAUUGUUAUCGGUAUAUAAGCACACAUAUAACCAUGCGGGAUCUCCUUGGGCGGCUCGCUGAAGAAUUGGUGAUCUACAGGAUCACCUCCCACCUUGUAAACAACAUAGGCCAGAGAGCCGUGUAAUUCUGAAGCCGCGAGCGCAUAAGCCAGUGGUGGCCCAGCCUGGAAUGGCAAUUCUCCCUUGUAACUCCCCAAGGUAAGUCCGGUUGGAGAGUAUUGAUGCUUCAUGAUUUCCUAGACCACGCGCAGCGCAACACGCUCGAAAGCAUUAACCAAGCUCUCGGAGUGUCGGUGCAGCGAGUGAGCCACCACGUAGUUUACUUCCUGACGUAGAGCUCUGGUACGAUCUUCUGACGGGGUGGACAGAUCCACGCCAUCAAGGGCGCCUUCGGGUGAAAAUCCCUUCCACCUGACGCCAUGGUGGCGGGUCUUCUCGAAAGAGCCGAUGAGAUCGGCUUCGAAAAGAGCCUUAAUCUCGUUUGUGUUCAGUAGGUAGCUCCUCAUAGGUGAUCGGUUCAUCCCUCGUCAUCUCGCCAACAGAAGUCGAUGGAGUUGAUGAAGAUGAUGAAGUUGAUGAAGAUGGUCCCACCUGACGUGCCAGAAUGUGUUAUCGGUCGAAACCAGCCGGCGAGCAGCGACAGGCAACACGAGGAGCCGGGAGGCUUCCGGAACUGCUGGUGGGCCCCAGUCCCUCGGUCAACGGCCCAAAAUCCGGCACACGUCCUGGUUUCUGGGUUGCUAGCCGAUUGUGUUCAGUACUAGAUCGGAUCUAUAAACAAAGCAAGUAUAUCUGAUGAUAGCAUAAAUCUUGCUCUGUAACCAUUUAGCUAAUCCAAUCUACGACGGUUGAAGCCAUCACUGCAUAAUCGGAACAUCCUAUACGUAAUUGAGCCUAACAGAUACGGAAGAUAACGAAACAACAACCUAAACAAAGGCCUAAAAACCAACUGAAAGCCAAUUCCCGGAACAAUCCCUUUUUAAGCUGUUAUAAAGCAUCAAACAUAUUGCCGGAACAUUCAACCCGUUUGAAGGGCCUAAUCAUGCAGAUAUUAAACUAAAUCUUCGAUGAACAAAGAUUAACCAUAACAGAUUGGAUCUACUAAACAAGAACAGAGCAAUGCGAUGUCCUUAUACCCGAGAUCGGGCACAGGGACAGCUAAACGUUUACAGGUAACAAACGAUGCGUGAAUAAGGCAUGAAAGAACCGAUGCUACUCUAUAAACGUUAAGAUAACUAGUUCUACUUAUCAUCAAUAACGCUUCAGAACGAGAAAUACGAAAGGUAAAUAAGUAAGAACAAUGCUGCCCCGAUCACGAAGGGCGUGAUCGGGGCCGCACGGCACUUACCCGAGAAACCUUAGAACAGGGGUGGCGAUGCGCCGAGAGUUGCUAGUGAAUGAUUGAUUCGAUUCCUUUAUUGAUUAUCCAGAGUACAUAUUUAUAGUCCGUAGACUUGCCUUCCCUAACCAAUCCUAACUAAAUACGAUACGAAUCUUAACUGUCUCUAUCUAAACUAUUUAAACACACAUGGCUAUCUAGAUACAUGGCCAACCUUGGCCUCAAACACCUGCAUAAGGUCCGACUCGCAAGCCCACUAUGACUAUCUUUCGAGCCCAUCUUGCUCCUCGGCCCAUCUUUUUGGCCCGUCUGAAUUAUGGCGAUAACAAGGUAUAACAAGAAUCUUAUGGUACAGCAAGAGACCGAAAUUUAUUCCGGAUCAGGAACUAAUUGUAACAAAAUUGACUCAUGAUUGAUAGAUAAAAUGAAAGACCGGGAAUCAUUCAUGAGUCGAGAGUAUGGAAUCAAUCCUGAUCUCUUGUUGUAUCUAUUAAUUAUGAGUCUAUUUUGUUGCAAUUAGUUUCCGAUCUGAAAUAAAUUCCUGUAUCUAUAAUUGCUGAUCGGAAUAAAUUAUGUAACCGAACAAGACCUUGGGCUUUGUUCGCUUAGCGUGGGAUCGACCGGGAUCGCGGUCCGAUCCACGGGGACCACCCCAGCGUGGAUUAAAUCCCGUUCGACUGUAAAAUAGGCGUUCGAUUAGUGCACCCGUGUCCUGGCAAAAUUCAUCGAUCCAGUCCGGGAUUUGACCCACGAGUCAAGAGGCGUGGAACGAAUCCUCGCAACUCGCGGCGCACGCGGCUGCGCAUCUCGGAGGCAUCGACGACGGCGACUAUCCCCUCCGGUAGCCAACUUCGCACAUAAGUUGUCCGUCACUCUCUUCCUUCCCAUCUCCUCUCCCAUGUCGUUCUUGGGUCAUCGGUAGGGUUCCUGAUUUGGGUUCUUGAUUUUUGGGUGCAGUAGAUCUGUAGGGAGUGCCAUCCACUCAUUCAGUGAUCAUGCUCUGUGAGAAUCAAGACAAUUUGGGGGAAAAACACCAAGACGGAUAACGAGAACAGGCACAAAUUGGGAGUAAGAAGCAAAUGCGGUAACUGAAUUAAGGACAAGUUCACGGGUAGAACUCCGUAUAGCCACCACCUCAGUCGCGACGACGAGAACUACAACUACUCCUAGUCCUUAUUUUACUUGUCUUUUCUUCUUCGAUAUCCCAGAACAAAGUCCUCCCCGGCAAAUAGGCCGGAUUUGAGAAUUUUUUAAUACGAAAUUAUGCUGUAAAUACGGAAUAAUGCUAAGGAUUUGCGAAAUAUCAGAAAUAGGUCCCAAUCGUCUACUGGGUAGACGAAAUCUUAUUUUAUUUCGUCCGACUGGUAGAUGAAAAUAUUAUAUUUUGUCUACAGAGCGGGUGAAAUACCUUAUUUUUGUCUACAGAGCGGGUGAAAUACCUUAUUUUCAUCCACGAUGCGACGAAAUAUAUCUUUGUUGACCUAGUCAACAAUUGUGCAUAGAAACGACCGUUUUCGUGGGUCCUGCAUGGAAACGAUAAAUUUCAUAGGUCCUGCAUGACGAAAUCUUAGAUUUGGAAAUCUAUAUUUUGUCUUCCCGGCGGACAAAAUAUCUUUUUCGUCUACCCGUAGGAUGAAAUUACGAUUUCAUCCAUUCAGAAGAUGAAAUUCGCAGUGACAUAAAUUCUAAAAUAUAAGUAAAUCAAUCUGCCCUCUCUUAUAGGAUAGCUAAGUUGAAGUAGUGUUUAUGAAUUUUCUGAGCUUGGAAAGAAAUUGUAAUGACUCAUGAUAUGACGAAGACAUACAUUACAUGAGCGCGAUAAUGUGCUCCUGCACUUCUAAAUCAUACAAACUUAUAUUACUAAUUGCAAUGGCAUGAGUUUGUACUAAAGUAUCAUGCCUUAGGGAAAUGUAGAUUUUCGCCGGAUAUGGAUACAGGCUCUACUGAUAUGAAUACAGGCUCUACUGAGUAAAAUGAGGAUAUUUUCUCUUUCUAAUGGCAUCAGGACCAGCUUCCUUGGCUCGGCGUACCCGCUCUCUCUUUCUCUCCCUGUCGGCUUCAUGUGCUUCGGCUUCCUGGCUGAUGAGGACAUAACACCCAUGCAUAUGAUCAUGAUUGGUGCAUCAUAUGGAAAAAGGAGUCCAUCAAGUAAAGAAGGAGUCUCAAGGCUAAUUCAGUUCGAGUCGCUAAGGUGGAGGCCCAAAACAACUCAAGUUCGAGUCCAUCUCGGAGUCCAGGAGCAACACGCACUAAAAAUAAUGCCCAGGUCGCAUAUGGAGUCCGUUUUGGACGUUCUUUAUAUGGAUGGAAAAAGAAUUACAUAGAGCUUCCAAUGGCACUGGUCCCACAUCAAAAUUCCAUCUGAGUCAGCGGGAAUCGUUGAAACAAGUGGACAUCCAGAAUCUGUCAGGGUGCUGCGCUGGCGUCUUCCCCUGCAUCGUGUUGGAGCCCAUAGAGGCGCAUCUAGGAGUGUCAUCCAUGAUUUAACCCUCAUAUUCAGUAGCAGCCGCCUCAUUAGGGUUUGGAUUUUAUUUAAUUCUAGUUUUCCAUUGAGAAACAGAUCUUUUUUAUUGUAACUGUGACGUGAGUCCUUUUGCUGUAAAUCAGAGCCCCAUUCUUGUUGUACACCACUGUGGCGAUUAGUCCUCUUUUGAUCAGAGCUUGAACCCCAUCUUGUUCUUUGCUUCAUAUACAUCUGCAAUUUCAAAUAGCUAAUUUACCCUUUCUUGCUUGUGUUCUACGAUUUGCUUGCAGGGAAAGCCUUCUUAGCGAGGUCAAUCAAGUUGUGCUUGUUGAUAACCAACGGAGCAUCGGUGUAACGGUUGCAGGGGUUCGAAUCGUGAGUGAUUAGAAGCCUAGAUCGCCAGUGCCAUGACUCCACCAAUUGAAUUUACCAUACCUAUCGGAAGAUCGGGCCAGUGCUACAUCACUGGCGCUCCACCUCCUCCAUCCUUUUGCGAAUGUCCUCAUGCUUCUCUUGCCCAUCGCUCUUGUUGCUCAAUGUGUGCCUUAUCCUCAUCGGGCUACUCUGUGUGUAGGAAAUCACAAAGAGCCGGGGGAGCCUUGCACCCCCAGGAAAUCAGAAUUUACAUAAGUUAAAGUAAGAACACACUAUGAUGAAGAACGACAUGGAAAAGUUAGUACUUUGGGUCUCACGUUACCGAACCGCUUCGGCGGGUCAUAUGCGUAGUUAUCGCACAUAAGAAACCUCAUGCCAUAGAAGUCACCCAAAGCCUGAGACUUCACAAGCUUGCAAAGGUCACCACAGAAGCACAUGGGCACAUGCACUCCUUGUGGCACAGUAACUUUCACCUUGCGCAUCAUAAUAUGUUCAGAGUUAGAAGAAGCCAUGGGAGCAAUAUGGCAACUAGUGACGUGAAAGGUUGUAGGAUGCAAAUGAUGUGGGUAAGGCUAUGUGUAUAUAUAGAAGGGAGAAUCAACAGUCCAUGGACGAUGCCUACAGCAGUCGACGAAAGCGCCUGCAUGGACAACCGGAUCCGAUGACAUAGUAAAACAUGCAAAAGCAGUACCCUACUCCUAGCAAUCGUUGCCUGCACUGGCCUACACAAAAGCCUGCACCGGCCUGCAGCACAGCCUGCACCAGCCUACAGCAAAGCCUGCACUUGCCUAUGCAUAGUGUUUGAAGCCAAGUGUUUAAAGCACCUUAGUUAAGAAAAUUUCUUGAAAGAUUGAGGAAAUUACUUGUAGGUGACAAUGCGAUGUAGCAACAUAAAAUGAAUAAUUCCCCGGCAUUGAAACAAUAUUACACAAAGGUGCAUGUAGUGAAUGCAAUGUUGCAUGUCUACUCCUAUGAUACAUCAAGCGACAUACGUACAACAUGCACCUCAAACUUAAAGAAUUGUUGCAGUGGCAUGUGCGGCACCUUGAUAGCCUAAACGAGUGUCGUUGCUAAACCUAACAUGCCUUAGGGGAUUUAGAUUGCCGGAUGAUAGGUUACUCCUAAUAGUGUUCCCACAUAGCAAAUUGUAUUGCACCUUCUCCAGAGUAUCCUCCCAUUGUAGGCGGCGGUGAUGGUGGCGGUGACGGCAGAGGUUCCUUGUUCUUGUGAUAAGGGUAGUUGCAAUAUGGAUUAGUGCACAGUGCCUCCUGUGAACCGGCACCAUUGCUGUUGUCAUCAUCUUUCUCAUCAUUGUUACCAUUGCUCACUUCCAUUUCUAGAUCGAAGAUACGAUUCUACAAAUAGUGGAUAUACUCUUGAUGUGGAUGAAUAGGAGCAGGAUCGACCCACCUAACGAACCCAUAGUUUUGUGGAGCGUCAGAAGACUGAAACAAAUAUCUCUAGUAAGUUCAAGGAAAGAAGAGAAACAUAUUUAACAAACGGAUAGUAAUAACAUUUACCCAUGCUCGAGGGCAUUUGAAGAAACAACGACCUCCAUCCAUCCCCUCGGUCAACAUCUGCACUAAGCAAUCCUCACCAUGCAUGCAUUUUGGCCAAUCUUCCUUGCAGUUAUCGUAUCCUCUGAGUGGGUUCUCGUUGGUGAAAUCACUUUUGCUCUCAACUGAAAACUCAAACACUGGUUUCAAAUAGAACUCAGAACCAACAGACCCCUCCCACACAUUGGGAGGUCCCUUCCUUCCCCCCUUUCCUCUCCCAGUGCUUAAACCCUUUCUAGUUUUGAAGUUAGCAGCAAUGCAUCUAGCAAUGCGUAUAUAUAUAGGCAGUGGCAGGUUUAGUACCCAUUGUGUGGAGGUAUAAAUGCACUUGAAAAGGCUACGCCCGUACCACUAAAAAGCCUAUUUCGAAGGACACUGAAAAGUGUAUUUCAAUUCAGACAGCAAAGGCUAUUUCAAAUUAGACUGGAAAGCCUAUUUGAAAACACGCUGAAAAGGUUAGAUUCUCUUGCAAAUAAUUGGUUCCUCUGGAAAAGCUAAGUGAUGAAAGCAUGACAAGGACAGUGGCACAACAAUACAAACAACAUCAAACAAUGUCACAUAAGUCGUCAUAAUGGCACCUCACCGGCCUAUGGCAUCACUCAUGCCAUUGCACUGGCCUACUCAGUCAUAAUGCCCUAUGGAAGAUCACGGAGGCCUACUCGUGUAUACAUCAUGAUACAUCUAUCCCUGACCCCUACCGCAGCCCUAUCGCAACCCUAGAGCCCUCUUCGGCUUCCAUGCCGACCCGGGUGCCCUAGGCUUCUCGUAGUAUGCUAGCGAGAAGCGGGCGACCGAACUGUCUUAUGAUGCAAUGCACCGCGUAGUCCUCAACAAAGACAUGAAACAUCAGCUUCUUACGCGUCAUCCAGUACUCUCUAUCCUCGUAGCAGGACUCUGAAAUACCCAGCCCACCAGUCCUGCGUUGAAUGGCGUACUGCGUGUAUGGCUCCCAUGUAACAUGCUCAGGCCUCAGGUGGUCGAACUGUUCAUUGAAUGCCUCGUACGUGGACCGAACCUGAACGCACGCCCACUGUGGUUACAGAGAAAAAAUAUACCAGAGAGUAUAUGAGUGCCAUGAAAGAAGAAAUUAUCAUUAGCAUAGUCAUGUGGCGUACCCGACAUCUUGUCCAAUGGGAGCCCAUGGUCGGUCGAUCGACCAUGCCCCCCUCCAUACAACUCCGCUGUGUACUGCUCAGGCUGGAUGUACGGCCGUCCAAGCUGAAAGCGCUCGUAGGACCAAAGGUUGACAACAAGAGCCAUACCGGUCAGGAUUGAGUUAGGCUUCUUCCUUAUGCAUGCCUAGCACAACCCUCGAUAGGUCCAGCAAAGGACCGCUGACCCCCAUGAAAGCUGAGGAAUCUGUCCAGGUCGCUGUCAGCAAUAGCCUGGGUGUAGGGUAUCCAAUGAGCAUCUACUAUGUCUCCACGUGAGCUGGUAAACAUCACCCACCCGAACAACCACAGUACGUAUGCCUCGAGGUGAUGAGCAAGCUGGUACGGCGUGAAGUCCUCCACCAUCCUCUCCAACUGUAUAAUGUACCAUUGAAAUAUUAGUAAAAAAAAUACUGAAUGGAAUGACAUAGCCUAAGAGAUUUCUAUAUACUUAACUUACCUUAAAAAGCUUCAGCCACUGCAGCUGCAGCCCGUGUUUCUUACUUGCUGCAAUGGUAAGGUCCACUUCUUGCUGGUGUAGGGCACCCUGGAAUCUCUGUACCAAGUCAUCACGCCAGCCCACAGGUAUGAUGGAGGGUCCAAUGGGCCUUCUAUGUAUAGGUUGCCCGGUGAGCAUGGACACGUCCUGCAGCGUGAUAGUCAUCUCCCCGAACGGCAUGCGGAAGGUGUGUGUCUCGGGUCUCCAUCGGUCCACCAAGGCUGAGAGGAGUGACAGGUCGUGGGGGAAACGUGGUUUGCUCGUGGUCAUUGUCUGCAUCAGCUGCAUCCUCGACCGUUGCUUUGAUCAUGCGCACAAGAGGAAGCAGCCCAGCACACGUCAACCUAGAAAAAAGUAACAUUACAAAUUUUGGCAAGCAAAUCACAAUAGCAAAGAAAUGAUAACAUGUGUUCACAACAAGUGCACCAACCUAGGGACCCAUUGCGGGUGAACUGCCCAAGCUUUCUUUGGCACCUGGGCGCGACGCGAAGGAUGGGGACGACAUCGUUCCCCUCCGUGACGUGCGCGUAAGCACGGUGCCACUGGUCUAAAGAAUCAUUAAGCAGCUCCAUCUUGUGACAUAACAAACAUUUUCAAUUAGCAUGACAUGAAAAAUAGCACCACAAAUAACAUGUCUUCAAAAACAACUCAAAAUAUGAUAAACAUAACAAAUAAUACAAAUUUUCAAUAAGGCAAAAUAAAGGGAAGUAUAAGGUCCAACAUUACAUAUGACAAAUAACGAGAUACAUAAGGUCCAAUAUUACAAAUGAAAAAUAACGGGAUACAUAAGGCCCAAUAGUACAUAACACCGCUAGCGACGGGAUACAUAAGGUUCAAUAGGGCGGGGUACAAACAUGUACAUAAAUAUGUUGCAAUCAAUACACAUCAUAGUCAUGUUCCUCAGGGGAAGUUUGUCCUCUAUGAUGGCCCCUCCCACGACCUCUUCCAUGUCGGGUUCUUGAGGUGGACACAACUGCACCAUCGGUGGAUGGACCAGCACCAUCGGUCGGGGAAAAAUAGUGGUUGGACAAUCAAUUGUUUUGUGCCUGAACUCUUCACAUGUCUACACCUUCUAAUUGGCCCUCCUAUUUCAGACCUAUCCAUAUCGUUGUGUAUACGCCUUGUUUCAGGAUGUCCCCCUUUUCCAUGGCAGUGACGAAGCAAGUGCAUUGGUGGAAGGCAUAUUGGCAAGUCUGUAUUGUAAACCGAGAAGUCACCACAUGCCAUGAAUCAAUAAAACUCACUAGUCCAUGUUUGCUCGAUGUUAUUCUUUAAGUAAAAGGGAGAGAUAUAACCCAUACUUGAAACUCCAACUUGGGAUAGCGAGGCCAUCACAUGUGGGAAAGGAACAUGUAAAAGCUUUGGCUUGUUACAUGUGCAUUCCGCCCAUCCAUUAAAUUGUCAUCCGAGGUUUACUUUAUGAGUCACAAGGGUUGUCUCCCUUCCUACUUCUCCUUUGGCUCUCACAAUUAUCUGAAAAUGGUUGUCAUGCGUACCCAUUGCAAGCACUAUGUGUUGUGAUGCCUUAGUAACAGCUUUCUCUAGCCAUUUGUACAUCUUGUUGCAAUAGGGUGUCUGCACUGUUGAGCUAUGAAGAACUGCCGCUGCAUGACUGUCAGAGGAAUUCUCCAGCUGGGUGGUGGAAAGUACCCGCCUAAUCCUAGUUAAGGAUGGGUUUGGAGGAGACUUAGGAGCGCUCGAUCGGUGGACAGAUGAACGCAGGAAGGACACGAAGAUUUAGAGUGGUUCGGGCCGCCGGAGCGUAAUACCCUACGUCCACUUUUGUGUUGUAUUGUCUGUGUAGACCCUGGGUGGAACUUAGCCUGAACUUGUGUUCGUGUAUGCGACCGUGUCUUCUAACGAGAGCCCUCUCCCUUUUAUAGUCCAAGGGGAGUGCUUACACUGAGCUAGGCCCCGACAGGUGGGCCCGGUCAACAGGAGCCUGUUCUACGGGAGAUAUGGAGGUCUUCAUCUCCAACUUCCCGUUGUAGCCUUCACGGUUGGGAAGAUAGUGUGCGUAUCCACAACCUGGAUAUGGUCGUGUGCAGUCCUGCAGGCACAGCGACCGCUGUCAGUGUUGCUCAACAGUGGUGCUAUGCUGCCACUGUUGGGUGUGACUCUGACAGGCGUGGGGGCAGUGCUGACCCGCCGCGCCAUCGCUUCCGCGCGCACUGUAGCAGCGCACGCCUCAGCUCUCCUGUUACAGGCCACCAUCACGCUGCGCGCCGCACCGUGACGGGACUGCACGCCGCUUGCACACAGUGACGGUGAUACGACGCGCCGCCUUGGUAACAGGCGGGCUUACCGUGGUGUCAGCCAACCUGCCCCGUGUGUCAGGGGCAGGCCACACUUUUUGACUUGGGCGCGCCCAGCCCAGCUACCGCAUUAAAUGCUGGUAGGUGGGCUGGAGAUCCGCGAAGGGCCUCCAGCCACGCGCACGUGUCAGGGCGAGCCCCGCUCCUUCCACAGGGGCGGCACGUGGCGGCACCGGACCCCUCCCCGGAGGGUGGGGGUCCGGGCUCCCGAGGCCGGUUGGAGCGGUCAGGCCCGUGAUGGUCCGGCCAUCACACGUGGCGGCCCCGGACCUCCCUAGGGAGUCCGGAUCCACGGGGGCUACCCGAGAGCUCCCUUGCCCUCCGUGGCAUGCGGAGGUCCUGGACCUCAGAGAGCUCGGGGAGGGUCCGGAGACCAUGAUCCCAGCUGUCAGGCCUGGGCCACAUGCCACAUCUCCCAGGAGGCGAGGGGGAUCACGUAUGGUGAUACGCUAAGGGCCUGGACACCCUAGCAGGAGGUACCCCUGUCUGUAUGUACCGACAAUGACGCUUUUGAUAGUACUUUAUGAUGCCAUACAACAUACCUUCUAUGAUUGCAAUGAGAGGGAGACCACGCAAACCUCUUAUAACCUGAUUGUAAACCUCUGCUAGGUUUGGAGUCAUGAUGCCCCACCUAACACAAAAAGUGAACAUCACGUCAAAAUGAAAUUAGAAAUUUAAAAUUAGGGAAAUCGGGUAACUUUAUUUGAACAACUACUCACCUUGUACCUGAUGUGUCAAAGAGCAAUGCCCACUUCUCCUUGGGCUCCGCAUGUAUCCAGUGAGAGAAGCACUUGAUGUUCCAUCCCCUUUGCCAUCGUACGUUUGGAUCAUCUAGCCCUUGACCGAGUAACGAUAGUCCAGGUGUCACCCCAAGGUUUUCAUCCGUCACUGGCUUCUUGCUCAUCUAAACGAAGUAAGCCCGAGUCAGGUCAUCUAAAUCCUUCCACAAUGCAUUAAACUUGCCCUCCUGGUUUUGGUAGAACAUAUCCAUCAACUUCUUGCUACUAAAUUUCUUAUAGAAAUUCACCGCCAUAAGGCGCAUGCACCACCUACUCUGCAGGUCAGGCCAAGGGAACAGCUCGUCUGCAUCCGCUUGCAAAGACUUCACCACCGAUAAUAAGCCAGCAUGUCGAUCAUGAAUGAGACAAACGUUUCACCAAUCCUGCACAACACCUGCCUUAAGAUGCCUAAGAAACCAUAGCCAGCUUUCCCUGUUCUCACUCUCAACAAAGGCGAAAGCCAACGGGAGUAUCUAUUGGUUUGCAUCAACUCCAAUUGCAGUUAGUAUCUACCUGUUUGGACUUGACCAUGAUGUUGUCCACAUAAGCCACGAUGGUUCGCCCGAUGAGGUCCCCGAAACAUCAUAGCACGCACCAUUGGUACGUGGCCCCCAUGUUCUUUAGACCGAAUGGCAUGGUGAUGUAGCAGUCCGAUCCAAAGGGGUGAUGAAGGAAGUCAAGAGCUGGUCGGACUCCUUCAUCACGACCUGAUGGUACCCGGAGUACGCAUCAAGGAAGCAAAGGGUUUCACACCCCAAGGUCGAGUCGACUACCUGGUCUAUGCGAGGCAAAGGAAAUGGACCCUUUGGGCAUGCCUUGUUGAGACUCAUGUAGUCAAAAAACAUUCUCCAUUUCCCACUAUUUUUUCAUACAAGAACGGGAUUGGCUAACCACUCAGGGUGAUACACCUGCUUGAUGAAUCCGGCCGCCAAAAGUCUUGCGAUCUCCUCGCCGAUGGCCCUGCGCUUCUCCUCGUCGAAGCGGUGCAAGCGUUGCUUGACCGGUCUGGAGCCUGGUUUGGUCUUCAAAGCAUGCUCGGUGACUUCUCUCGGCAUGCCUGGCAUAUUUGAGGGUUUCCAUGCAAAUAUAUCCUUAUUGGCACGAAGGAAGUUGAGGAGCGCGCUUUCCUAUUUGGAGGAGAGCGCAGCAUCGACUCGCACCUUCUUGUCCGCGGAGUUCUUAGGGUCAACGAGAACCUCCUUCACACCCUCCAUGGGCUUGAAGGAUCCGGUAGCCCAAUUGGAGUCAGGCGCCUCUGCCGUGGUUUCCUCCCUGAUGGCCACUAAUUCCUCGAAGGCGAUGACCGCAGAGGCGAGCUCGCAGCUCUCCACCUUGCAUUGAUAGGCGUGCUAGAAUGAGGAGCCGACGGUGUUGACCCUGCGAGGGCCCAGCAUCUUGAGCUUUAGAUAAGUAUAACUGGGGACAGCCAUGAACUUUGCGUAGCAUGGUCGCCCUAAUAUGGCAUGGUAGGAUCCGUGAAAACCGACCACUUCGAAGGUGAGGGUCCCUAUCCUAUAGUUGGUCAGAUCCUCAAACAUUACGGGCAGGUUGAUCUGCCCGAGUAGUAUCGCCUGCUUUCCAGGCACCAUGCCGUGGAACGGCACUCCGGAUGGCCAAAUGCGAGGCCGAUCGAUUCCCAUGGCAUCUAGGGUCUCCGCGUACAUGAUGUUGAAGCCGUUGCCUCCGGCCAUUAGUACCUUGGUGAGGCGCUUUGUGCCGAUGAUUGGGUCGACCACGAGUGGGCACCUCCCCAGUUGCGGGACGCUGCUCGGAUGGUCGGACCGAUCGAAGGUGAUGGCCAACUCCGACCACCGGAGAAAUGCAGGUGUCAUCGGUUCGGCCGCGUAGACCUCCUGGCAUGUGAGUUUCUGGCGGUGCCAGGACUCGUAGGCAGCUGGGCCUCCAAAUAUCAAGAUGCAGCCGUUGGGGUCGGGGAAGCCAUCCUCCUUCUCCUCGGCGUCGUCAUCCACCGGCUCGAGCCUCUUCUUCUGCUCCCCCUUCCUGGCAUCUCCCAAUAGGUACUUCUUCAUGAGGGUGCAGUACUUAUAUAGGUGCUUGACCGGGAAGCCGUGGUUCGGGCAUCGCUUCUCCAGCAUCUUCUCAAAAUGAUCGGGGGUCUCCCCGCCGGCCGCUCUGCCUCCCUUUUGAUCAGCGGCGGCUGCGAGGGAACCCCCGCUGUUCCUCUUGUUCUUCUUCUUCCCUGGGACAUUCGAGCCACCCUCGCCGGUGCUCUCGUCGCGCUUCGCCUUGCCCUUAGCACGGUCAAAGAUCGCCCCGACUGCCUCCUUGCCCGAGGCGUGGUUCGUCGUUAUGUCAAGGAGCUCCUUGGUGGUUCACGGGCUUUUGCGCCUCAAUUUGUGAACCAGGGACUCGCAGGUGGUCCCGGUCAGGAAAGCCCCAAUCAUGUCGGCAUCAGAGACAUUGGGCAGCGUGUUGCACUCCUUGGAGAAGCGCCGGAUGUACUCGGGAGAGAUUCCCCCAACUUCUGCCGCCAGUUCUUGAGAUCCGAUGGGUUCCCAGGGUGUUCGUAAGUGCCCUGGAAGCUUCCAACAAAGAUUUCCCUCAUGUCCGACCAGCUGUGAAUCCGGUCGGCUGGCAUGUGCUCGAGCCAUGCCCGUGCUGAGUCGGCCAGGGACAAGGGCAAGUUGUGGAUGCUGAAGUCGUCAUCGACCGCUCCUCCUCCUCAGCAAGCAAGCCGGUAGUCCUUGAGCCACAAGGUAGGGUUUGUCUCCCUGACGUACCUCGUGAUGUUUGUCGGGGGGAGGGGGCUGUACCGUGUGGGAAUGGCGCGCUACGGACGCGCGCUCAAAAAACCCUGGGACCCGGCAGGUCGAGGCUCGAGCUUCUAUCCUCGCUGCUAUCAUGGCGCCCACCAUGAUGAGGGUGAUAUUCUUAGCUCACCGCUGCUUGCUCGUCCUCGUGCCCGCACCUUCGGGCGUUGAUGGUGUGGCAUAUGUCGCGGUCGACGCUGAGGCGUCCCCGAACGGGGGUGUUACAUCGCGGGUGGUGGCACGCGCACCCUCCAUCUCCACGGCGUCCAAUCUCUCGCUUGAGUUUGGCAUGCUCCUGUUCUAUCUUGAGGCGCGCUUCCUCGAGCUCCUUGUGCCACUCCCGUAGUUGCUCAAGCCCCAUGGACGGUGGGGCUUGGUUCCUCUCCCUGGCCCCAUCAUUACGGCCACUCGGAGGAGUUUCCCCAUUGUGGGAGUCUUCGACACACCCUUCUAGGACUCCCGCCACAAAACACACCCGUGAGGGGUGGUGGCUCCCUCCGCUAGAGCCAAAGUCGGAGAUCGCCUCUGAUUUCCCCACAAGGAGAUCAUGGAAGGAUUCCGAGACGUAGUUCGUCAUCCCCACGAACUCACCGCCUAUGGGGUUUGAACCAAAAGGCGUCACAUCAAGGCGAUGCGCGUCCCCCGCCGCGUUGUGCUGGCCAAAAGGAAACCUCAUCUGGACGCACCUGGCCAGGAUCUCCAGGGAGAAUGGUUCUCCCCUAGAGAGAUGCGCUGUGAUGUUGGCAAGCGAGAAAACAACGGGGCGCAAGUACUCCUGGGUCGGUCGGGGACCCAAGAAGACGCGGAGCUGAUGCCCCAAACUCUCGUAGUCAAAGUUGAGGGGCCCACUAACCCUGGAGGCGCGAUCCUCCGAGGCGCGCAGCCGCAUCACCUCGAAAGCCUUGACAACGGGGUCGGGGUUGGUAGUGCGGGCGGGGCGGACCGGAACACGAAUUUGCUCCAGUCCUCCUCCUGUGGUGACGAUGAAGUCUAGGCUCCCGAAGUGCACGAGCAUGCCUGGAACCCAUGCUCUGGCGUGGUUGGCCAUCCACAACCUGAAGAGGUCGACGAGACGCGCAAAGCCCCUACCUGGUGUGCCAACUGUCAGUAUUUCGAAUCGCUGACUAGCAACUCUCGUGAUUGCAUGUCUGUCCUGGAUGGUGAGCAAGAAAGACACGAGGGUUUAUACUGGUUCGGGUAGAAUGUCCCUACAUCCAGUUCGAGCCGCUUGUGCUCUUGCACUAGGUUUGCAGUAGGGGUUACAAACGGAUGAGAGUGGGACUGGGCUCCGAAGUCUCUGGUGGAGAGUGCGUUUAUGUGUGUGAGUCAGAAAAAAAUAUUUUCAUCCCCUUGGCCGGGGGUCCGUCCCCUUUUAUCCCCUUGGCUGGGGGGUCCGUCCCCUUUUAUAAAUCAAAGGGAAGGGAGUGGAUACAGAGAGAAAGAGAGAAGUCCCCGAGAUUGUGCCCCUCUCCUCCCCUACGCAUGGGCCCCGCUGUCCUGUAGAUGAUAACGGAGGCACUCCCAUGCCGCGCCCUCGUGCGACGUGCGGCAUGCGCCUAAAUGGAACGGGCGGUGCGGGUCUACCAGGCCGUAGGAUGGGCAACAUGCACCCUGCCGAGAUGGGCGACGUGAGUCCCCUGGCGCAUUUUACAGCUUGACCCCCGGGGCGGUGGACGGCGGGGCUUGCCGUAGUGGCUUGGCUUUUCCAAAGGUCAUGUCGCUGCACAUCCUUACCUACCCCUACGCUAGAGGUUCGUCCUCUGGCAUGGCCCGUCACUUCAUGAGGUCCCUGAAGGCCCAUGCCUUUGGGGCGGACGUGCCCAACCCCUCACCCUUAGGGUUGGGCGAGGCGGACGCGCCCGAUCCCUUACCCUUGGGGUCGGGUGAGGUGGUCGUAUCCUUCUCCAGUGCUUCGCAUUGGGCCAUUGGUGCCCCUUCUCCUGGUGGGCCGUUCUGUGGUCAUUCGACGGCCUAGCCAUCCCAAGCCACGUACUUUGAGGGGACUAAUCCAUGAUCAGCCUCCUAAGGAGCGUUCUUUGGGGAUCCAUAAUAUUUGCCCCCGACAAGUACUGGCUGGAGAUUCAAAGCAUCGCUACUAUAGUUGAGAGAGAAGCAGAAGCGUCGCACUACCAUAGUUGAAGGGUCAGGUACGUGUCGGGAUUCAUUACAAGAAUCAAGGAGGUGUGGAGUUUAGUUGAAAAGACUGAUCAAUAUGAUGAGAAUCAAGGGGUCAUCCACACACGGGAUCAAAAAGACAAUCAUGAUUGGAGAGAAUUUUGGAAUAAAAUAUUUUAUUCUGAAACUAGGGGCAUGUGUUGACAUUAUUUUUUGACAUGUGUCUGGCCAACGUUGAGGCAAGGAAAGUAGCCGAUGGAACUAAGACAAUCUGGCCGAUAUGGUGUUGCAGCCGAUGGAGCGAAGUUGGCACUGAUGGUUUAUGUCAGCAAGUUAUCGCGUGGAUUCUGAGUCAUAUGCUAGUUGGUUAGUUAUAAAAAGUUUAUUUUCUUUUUAGUCAAGUCAUAUUGUGUCGUGAUCCACUAGGGUUUUAGUUGGCCUAUAAAUAUUAGCCUACGGGCUUGUAAUUAGAGAUCACACAAUCAAUACAACAAAUCCUUUUCUUCAUUGUCGGUGACUUCACCAAACCCUAGUUUUGUAGUUUUUUCAUUUCGACAAGUUCUUCCGGUAGAAGGGUUGCAUCACUUCGAUCUCCAGCUUGCUGGUAAGUUUCAUGUUUAUCGAGCAAAUUAGAUCUUUGAUUGACGGUGCAUCACUUCCUUCCCGAUCUAUUUACUCACCAGUUAUCGAUAUUUGCUAUACUUUGCAAGGUUGAUUCUUUUAAUCUUGUGUAGUUUAGCUUUUAUCACAAGUUAUCCAGUUUAGAUCUUAGGAUUUCUAUCGGCUGCAGUUGCGCUUUAUUGUUUCAAUUUACUUCAUAGAAUAUAGCCGAUUAGAUCUUAAUCUUAGUAUUGUUGGUGAAGCAGUACUGAGCAAUCAGUAUUGCUCUCACAGUAGAAUCGGUUGUUUUUAGCCAAUUUCUUAUUAUAUCUGUAUCGAGUUUCUGGAUGAUACUCCUUUGGAAUGGUUCAGAAAUCUAGCCGAUACGUUCUAGUAUUUGAUGUUGCCUUAUUUUUUUGUCAAUUACAGGUCAAAUUGACUGGCAUGCCUAGCACCUAUGCGAAGCUAAUUGGAGCCUGCGCCGGAGUAAAGCAAAUCUCCCAGCACAAGAAGCCGAUCGCCGGUUUUUUUGCGUCAACACGCUUUUGGCACGCCAAGUGGGACAAGACAACAACUUCACCGUGACCAUCCAGAAGCUAGCUGAGGUGACUACUGACAACAUCCUCAAGGUCACUAAGGAAGAUCUCAAUGUCGCCCAGAAGCAACAGUUGGAGAAGGCAAUAGAAGACUACAAACAGGCUUGCCUCGGGGUUUUCAGUGUCACUAAAAGAGGAGAAGCUAUACAGAAGAAUGCCUUCCAAAAGCCGCGAGAAAUCACACAUUGAAGACUUGGCUAAGUUCAAAGAGAUGUUCGACCAAGCUAUGCAUCACACAAUGAUCAACAGUCGAACGUCUUGAUGAACUCAAUUCAAAAUGCCAUCAGGGAAACUAUGGCCACCGGCUUGCAGAUGGACUACAAAGGGUCGUGCUACUCUCAACCAGAGUCAUCAGGCAUAGCAGCAGCUAGAGCUGGGAAUGCUUCUAUGGCAGGUUUCGGCACCCAACCGCCACCACUCAGCACGGUGAUGCUGAGUACUGGAAGCUACCCAAUGCCACCACACAUGUUCCGUAUCAGCCGAUGGCGUCUCCAAUUCAGACAGCACCGGUGUUUACGCCCACUUCACCAAUGAUAGCACCAUCGGCACAUGGCGGCUACUUCAACACCCUGCUGGUUUCAUCGCCCUAAGUUCAUGGUCCCGACCAGCAUAGAGGCAUCGGUUCAGACCCAGUAGGUUCCAAGUGCAGGUGGAUCGGCCCAAGAUACACAGCUACAAGCACCUUCCACCUAGUUGCCGGUCUCUCCGCUACAGACCAGUAGACCCCACUCGCCAACAUCGGUUUCGCAGCGAUGGUCCUAUACCAGCUGUAGGCAAGUGGUUAUCAGUAAGGCCCCUCAGCUCCUCAACCGAUGGCGAAUCAUAUGGAUCAACAAGGAGGCUACCAAUAGCAAGUACCCGUCCAACCGCAACUGGUUCAUCAACUUCAGCCCUCGAUGCAGCAGCCGCAGUCGGUGAUCCAGCAACUCGACAAUGGCCUCCAGAAUAUUAAUUGGGCGAGUAAGAUAACUGAUGUGAUGAAAAAUCAAUUCGGCUUAAAACCUAAAGAGCCAACCUACAUGUACCGAAGGUCCUACCCUGAAGCUUAUGAUCAGAUUGCAAUGCCUCACCGGUACCGAGUGCCAGACUUCACCAAGUUCUUCAGACAGGAUAAUGUGACAACGAUUGAACACAUCAGUAAAUUCCUGGUCCAGUGUGGAGAGGCUAUCUGGCAUAGAUGCUCUGAAGAUUCGUCUGUUCCCGCUCUCUUUGUCUGGAUCGGCCUUUAUGUGGUUUUCUUCACUGCCAGCUAACUCCAUCAUCACGUGGGCCGAUCUGGAAAAGCAGUUCUACAAACACUUCUUCACCGGUAUUCAUCAGAUAUUAGUGCAACAAUUUUAGAACGUUCAGUCAUUAUCAUGCACUCAUUUAGUCAUUUUCAGAAUAGAUUGCACCUUUCAUUUUAGAAGUUCUUUACAGCUACACCUUUGACAUUCUAAAUAAGCUUGAUGACAUUUUCAGGGAAGCAGCUGAGGCAAUGAUCAAGAAAUAUUCUACUGGACAAAGUGCCUGGUCACUUGAGUGUGCUUGCGCAAGUUACCUGUUAGUUUAGAUAUUUCUGUUACUCUUUUGAGAGGAUGGAUUAUUUCGGCCAUCACAAUUUCCUAAAUUGUGAUUUUGGAAUAUUAGAUUUUCAAAAACAUGUAAAGAGAUUAUUUGUCUAACAUUUCAGAUGUUUAUUUGCCUUACAUUUCAGAUGUGCAGUGGAAGCUUAUAAAUGUUGGAUCAGCUGAAUAUGGAAACUACAAUCUACUCAGGUUGGAAUGAUACCAAUUGUCGCAACUAGAUUAUGAGGAUGUCUAUUGGAUCUUGUUUACUUCUGAACACUUCCAGUUCUAACAUUUUGAGUUCACAUGAUUCAGGAGUGAUCAAAUGUUAUACAUGAGUGGAGAUGUAAAAUAGUUGAUGCACUCAGUUAUUUAUGACUACUAUGUGUCUGAUAUUAACAAAUUUAUCAACAGGGCAAUCCCUGUCUUAGUCGAACACAACAUUUGGAGAAAGGGAUUAGAGGAAGGAAGGGAUUCGAUCCUCAAGAGGGUUGGGUGAUAUGGGAGGGAUUCACCCAAUCGCUCCCUUGAUUGGUUCCCUUUGGGGAUUUCACCCCUGUGAGCCGAACAAGGCCUUAGCGGCUUCAGCUUCCUUCUGGAAUAAACAGCAUCGAAAAUAAGUACAAAAAUCGUCCGAAGAAACUCAGCAGCAACGAUGGAAACUAGGGGACGCUUUUUUUUUUGUCUAGUCCUCCGCCUCCUGAAGAGCAAUAUUACGCUGGCUGAAUGGAACCUACAAGUUCUAAUGUAAACCCUUUGCUAUCUUUUCAGUUUUCUAAAGUAAACCCCUAGCUCUACGUCAUUGUCAUGCUUAGUCAGGUCAUCAAGCCAGCCAUCACAGGUCCUUUUUUAUUUGGUCUCUAAUAGAGUGAGGAUCAUUGCUCUCGUGCGUAAUCUUUCUUGAAAGAUGAUUAUUUUGCCUCUUGCUCCCGCAACGAGGCAAGGGAUACCAUUAAUAGCCUUCUGUGGUUUGUCAUUAAGGAGGAAAUAAUUCAUAGGAACCCAACCAUAGUCACGUCCUUUCAUAGAAUAAUUAUAGCCAUCUCUACCUGCGAAAAUCGGUUCUACUAGCUAUAAUCAUUUCCUUCCAAGGACACUGUCGCUAUGCAAAUUGGAUAUAGCCGUCUCUACCUAAGAACAUCGGUUCUACGAGCCGUAGCCAUCUUCUCCUAUGAACAUUGUCACUAUAUAGAUUGGAUAUAGCCGUCUCUACGUAGGAAAAUCGGUUCCAUGAACCAUAGCCGCCUCCUUCAAAGACACGGUAGUUGUGUAGAUUGUAUCGAGCCCUCGGCAUUUCACCAUAUUUUGAACGGGCAUGCCAGCGCCUGAACGUCCGGAUGGAGUCAAUCUAUCAGACGCUUCUGUGGCAGCGUAUAGUUGGACCAUCCCUAAUCCACGCACUCGCUGCGCUCCUCCCUCCAUCCAUCCCAUCGCAACACAUGGCGUGAGCUGCCUCCAUGACAACACUAAAUGGCGCUGCCGUGCUUGAUGUGGUGGCACCACACGUCGUGUCUGCCCCUUGCAUCACACCGUCCGCACAUGACAGAGGGGGGAAAGAAAGUGGAUAAGAUGCUAAUCAUUGUAUGCAAUAUUGAAAAGCAAGAUUCGUAGUAUAGGAAAAUAGUGUAUGCAACAUUGGAUAUCCACAUUUGCAACACUGAAUAUUCCAAUCAAAACUAGAUCAUCAUGCGCAGCUGAUUCGAGACAAAACAAUCCAACCACAGCACCAUUUUUGUGCCUCAAGCUGCUACUUGAAAUAAAUCCAUAAGACAUUAAUAGUCAGCAACUGAAACAUUUUUAAUAACCUCAUGUAACAUCCGAAAGAUACACUUGGCAACAUUCGGUAUAAGCUAUUGCAACAACACCAAAAUCGCGGCUGAAUUGACAUAUCCUCAAAUCUGUACAAUUGUACACAAUUGCAACAAAUCGAAUAAAUAUCCGCAAAAUCUAAGUCAAGCCAUUGCAACAUCCUAAUCAAAAGGUGCUGCAACAUCCAACAAAAGCACUACAACAUCUGAAACAUCUAAAGAUCCCUACCGCAACAAUAUGAUUUACCUUUUGAAACUCAAGCAUCUUUUGAUGUUACAAAAGGUAAAUCAUGUUGGUGAUCCCAUAUGCGGGGAAGGGGCCUGUGUCUUUCCUGCUGAGGAGUGAGGAUAGAGGUAUGGAUGAUCCCGUAUGUCCUCUGGACGGCGGGCGGGCGGCAGGCUCCAUCUCUCCAUCGCAUGGUGAUGGUUGUGCUGGCCGAGGGUGAUGUAUGAUGAGAUCUCAUGAGUGGCGAAUCAACAACGGCAGCGGCUUAACUUAAAUCUGGUGUGCACCAGCUUAUCCAUGUAGGAGGCAGGCAGGCAGCACCUCCAACCUCAAGUCGACGGAGCCGCACCUGAACCCUGCAGCUUGGGGGGGGGGUUGUGGAGGUAGGCAGAUAUCCUAGAGCCAAGCAGCGCAAGACAACGCCAACACAUACAGUGAGCCAGCGUCUCGCGGUGAGAAAAUAAGAUGUGGAUGUGAGGAUUUGGCUAGUCAAACAGGAUGGAUAACGCUUUAAAAUAAUAUAUGGAUGGUAUCUUCCAUGUAAUCAUCCAGAGGGACGGAGCGCGUCUGGAUGCUAAAAAUAACAACAAUCAGGAUUCUAUCUCUUGCAUGGCCUUAUCUCUAACCGACCGGUCUGGAUAAAUCUACUAUUUGUAAAGCCAGCAAUGAUUUCUUGAUCCAUCAAUCGGAAUCCUAAUCGGAACCAGGCAAAUCAAUCAAAAUCUUAAUCGGAACCCGGACAGAUCAAUUAGAAUCCUAAUCGGAACUCGGACAAUCAAUGCCUCACGCGGUCACGGUACGGCCUCUGCACGAAGUGAAAUUACAUGUAGUUGGUGGUCUCAUAUAGGUUCCGUAGCAACGAUAGGCACUGUGCUAGUCAAAACUAACUAGCGUAGAUAGAGAUCCUGCAUGGGCAAUGACAGAUGGGCCAGCCUGUAGAGCACCCAACCUAAAUCGAUUCAUGAGAUGCACGCGUACAUGAUCAAGUCUCACCAAACGUGAUUUACCAAGGGCACCAAGCUUUAUCUUUCUAUUUCUUUUCUUCUCCUUCUAGAAGCAAAAUCUUUAAUCGAGAGUUCAAAGUCUCGGUGCCUCUAUCAAGAAAGGUCGCAAGAAUUAUACACAAAUUAACCUAAACUUUCUAGAAACAACAUAAACACUACCGGAUUCAGUCCCUUUGCCGAGUGUCUGGGACACUCGGCAAAGCCCCGACUACACUUGGCAAAGGCUUUGCCGAGUGUAACACUCGGCAAAGGACAUUCGGCAGCGAUUUCGUCGGCAAAGACGUCUUUACCGAGUGCCUUUUGUCGGGCACUCGGCAAAGAGAAGCGCUCGGCAAAAUGUAAAUCGAAAAAAAUUCAAAAAAGAAACAUGAAAAAAAAUUUAUUGGGGGAGGCAUACACAGCCAGUUAGUGACCCAUCUAAUGGGUUGCACAUUUUUUCAGCAAUUUUUCAUAAGUUGUCAAUGAUAGGUUUCGAACGCACGAGCUCCUGCACACAAACAACUCCCUCUAUCACUGCACCAUUGGACCAAGUAUGUCAACAUUACGUUUUUAUUCUCCACAUAUUAUAAUUAACCGAGUGUAAAUUGUUUGUUUGAGAUAGUAAAUAAAUUCAAAUGAAAAAGUUGUUAACUACAAAGUGGCAUAACAUUUCGAGAUCUACAACUUUUAUUUUGGUAGUUUCUUCAUCCGAGAUCGUUUACAAAAUUUGAAUUUCAAAUUUGAAAACUUCAAACGUAUUUUAAUAUGACACAAUGAUUUCAAAUCAAAAAGUUGUCAACUAAAAACUUUCAUAACUUUUUGAGAUUUACAACUUUAAUUUUGAUGAUUUUUCCAUUCGAGGUCAUUUGCAAAAUUCGAAUUUUAAAUUUUCUAUAUUCAGAUGUAGUUUUUGUUGACAAGAUGACUUCAAAUUAAAAUGUUGCCAACUGUAAAAUCUUAUAACUUCUCAAGACCUAUAAAGUUUAUUUUGGUUAUUUUAUCAUUUCUUCAUCUAACAUGAUAAUUCUAAUAUUAUUCACAAAUCUUAUAUAUCUCUUUUCUAGUUUCAUAAACUACAAGAGAGAUAUAUAUGUUUUAUGAAUAAAUUUACAUUUAUUUUGUCAAAUGAAGAAAUAUCCAAAACAAUAAUUGUGCAUCUUGAUGAGUUACACAACUUUGUAGUUGAAAAUGUUUUUAUUUGAAUUAAUUUACUACUUCAAAAUAUGAUUUAAAAAUUAUCUUUACCUAGUGUUCUAAAAAAACACUCGGCAAAGAGCUUCUUUGCCGAGUGUCUAAAAAGGCACUCGGCAAAGAGUUUAUUUUCCGAGUGUCUAAAAAAGGCACUCGGCAAAGACGCUCUUUGCCGAGUGCCCGAAAAAAAACACUCGGCAAAACACUUGACACUCGGCAAAGAUCUUUUUUCGGCAGUGAAAGAGGUGGGGCCCAUGCAAGCUCAACAACGGUAAUUUAAUAAGUAUGCACUUGGCAUUAAAAUAGUACAUAAAUAUCAUUUGUACCAUCUUCUCAUAUCUUAUUAUAUUCUAGUUAAAAAAUGAUCAUCAAACACAAAUAAAGGUAUUUCUACCAUUAGUCAGCUGAUAUAAGAACUGACCAUGUACGUAAAUCGUAUUAUCACAGUCGAUUCUAGCCACAAGCAGAUUGUUACAACAGCUUAUUUGUAUUGUCGGGUCUAAGCCUAAAAACCGUUACUACAAAUAGAUUUUAUCCAAAUUUGCAGUUUUACUUAGAAAAUUUGUAACUUCUUCAUAUGAAAUCAAAUUGAGACAAAUAUGCUAUAUAUGUUUAGCAUUUUCAUACGAGAUCAACAACUUCAAUUUGUAGAUUGGUAAUAACGCUUUUAUUUAAAAUCAUACUUAUACCCAAUUUGGUUCACAACCAAUUUUAUCUGCUUAACUAGUCGAUAUGGACUUUAUUGGUGUCAUGGUAAAGUAAUGGAGCACUAAGCACCUCAAAGUUUUAUGAAAUAUUAUAAACCUAACAGUAAAUAUAUUGAAAUACAUCACUGAAAAAGAACUAUUAAGGUAUUUGUCUAUAAAAUGUAUUUCAAUAUGGAACUAUUUCAGUUCAAAGUUGGAUGUUUAUAAGAAUGAUAAAAGAAAUGGUGAUAUAUAUAAAACGAUCAACUUUAAUGGUAGUAUUUUAGUGUUGAAUUUACAAUACGUGAUGUUGUUAAGUUGGUUCAUGUAUAAGAACGGACAGCAAGCCUCUGUUUGCAAUUUUUGCAGUAGUUGAUAGUAAUUUUGUUAAACAAAUUAUCCCUAUGAAAUUUGAUAAAAAAUUUAUAUGAAAACUUUGUUCUUGAAAAGAUCUACACAACUCCUUUUUGAUCUUGAUAAGAUCUACACAACUUUAUAGAGUUGACGACUUUCUAAACGAAGAGGGCUCUCUAUUUAGUUUUAAAGGAGAAAUCUCAAACUUCCUAAAAUCGAAAGUAUGAUCCCACCACAUCUCCAAAGUUAUUUAUAUAUCUCAAUAACCACCUAAUGUCUCAGCCAACAAGGACCAAAAGGAAAACAAAAAAUCUAGCAGUUGCCACAAACAAAUACUACUAGAAAAUAAGCUAUUGCUCCAUCCUAAAUAUACCAGCACUAGUACCGGGUCUAGUUCAUACCGGUAUAUUUGGGGUGGAUGGAAGGCUUCGGAGACCUUUAGUACCGGUUGAUGUGUACUAAAGAGUCCACAUUAGUAUCGGUCGGUGUUACCACCUGGUAUUAAUGCCUCCACCCAUACUAGUAACAAUUGGUAAUAUCACUCGGUGCUAAUGUACAACCUUUAUAUUAGUAUAGUUGUUAUUAGCAUCUAGUACUAAAUGGUCCUUCACGGGUUAAUUCAAAAGGAAAGCAUCUCGCUCGCUCCCAAAUAUAAUUAUUGUAGGUGAGAUGGUAAGGAAGGAACCUUAUUCACUGUUCACGCGCAUAUUUCACAUGAAAAAUCUCAUCCACGGAUUUUUUUUUUGAUGUGUGAUGCUUUAGUACAGGGUGAAAACACCAACUUUUAGUACCAAGUCAUGUAACUGGUAUUGAUGCUCAAAACUUUUAGUUUCGAUUACGCAGUAUCGGUCGCAGAACCGGUAUUGAUAGCUCAUUUGACUUGGUAGUUGGUACUCACCAGUCUUUUUCUUGGUAGUGAAAGCAUAGGUGUAUUGAUUGGGGGUGCCACCUUUGGGUAUUAUUUUUCUGUGCUGAAAUUUUGAUUUGAUGUUGAUUAUAUUUGAUGUGUCUCAAACUUAUGGUUUAACAGUUUAUCAGGUUCCAACCUGACUUACAUUCUCAUGGUUAUUGUCGGCUCAAAAAUCAAGUUUAUUUGCAGCAUUGAUCCGUGAAAACUACUCUCCUAUUGAAAAUUGGUUAGUGCACCGUGCAACUCUGGUAGAACUUAUCGUGGACGUUCAUCUUGCGUUGGCUUCCGUGCUAGCUUGUUCUUAGUGCUAGAACCUUCUCUGUUAUCUUGUUCUCUUUAAUUUCAAAACCAAUUUCUGAACUGAGUUUCUUUGAGCAAUACAGAGAUGAUGAGUACGUGCGACUCAUGUCCUGCCUUUAUGAGUUGCUGAUCAUUUUGAUGUAAUAGCAAAGAGCUAGGUUUCAUCAGUCCAUUUCAUUCUGUCUAUAUAAGUAGCAGGUGGGGCAUAUGGUUUCGCGAAUAUUCUGCUCAGCGCAUAGGCUCGUAUCUUCAAGAACAAUGUGAACAAAAGUGAAAAGGGAACCUGGUUAACACAACUGUUACGGUUAAUAAAGGUGAACACUACGAGCAGCUUAUGCCACGUUGGACGUUACAACACGAAUCACAACGAUCAUCCAACGGCGAUGAGCUGGGAGGUAUGGAUCGGAGCCACUGCGCGGAUGAGAACAUUCGGCAAUCCAUGGAACCUUCUCUGUUAUCUUGUUUUCUUUAAUUUCAAAACCAAUUUCUGAAAUGAGUUUCUUUGAGCAAUGGAGAUGAGUGUGACUCAUCUGUUGGUUGUGCUGCCUUUAGGAGUUGCUGAUCAUUUCGGUGUAACAGCAGAGAGCUAGGUUUCAGUCCAUUUCUCGAUCUGGCCUUUAUAAGAUUCGGGGGCCGUAUGCAUGGCGCCAAUUCCACGCCAUCCCGUGGUCCGACCACCAGCAGCUAGCGCCUAGCGCCGCGUGAGAAAGUAAAGAUGCCGAAGCUGGCGGCGCCGAGAAAUAUCUCGCCACACAGCUAGGGCUAGCUCACGACGGACACCAAAGAGACCGAGACCGCUGAGCCAGAGCAAGCCGCAAGCGGCGUACGUCGGCGAGAGACGGCCAGGCAAGCAAGCUGCAUGCCAGCGUGGAUCGCCCGCCCAUCCUGCCCCUGUGGCCGACAUCUUGCGCCGGACCCGAUCAGGAUUGCCAGCAUGGCCGGGUGCCGCCACCGGCGAACGGUACGUGGCCACUCCUCCCACAUCCAGUCUCGUCCUUCGCGGGAUGGGAGGUUGGGGCGCCAUGGAACCGCUGCCUGCCUGGGUAUAUAUAUACGCCGUCGGAAGGGGGAGCCUACAAGGACUCGAGUUAGCCAGCUGCCUCCGGCCUCUUCUCCUUCGUUAAGACUAGUAAGCCAUGGCCCCCGGCGUGAUGGCCUCAUCGGCCACCUCCGUGGCUCCUUUCCAGGGCCUCAAGUCCGCCGCUGGACUCCCCGUGAGCCGCCGCUCCAGCAGGGCCGGAUUCGGCAAGUACGUCAGCAACGGCGGAAGGAUCAGGUGCAUGCAGGUAACAAUCUACUACUAGCUGGGGAAUUGGCUUCUUGAUGGUGUUCAAAACUGAGCUGAACGCAUGCAACGCAAUAAGAAGUUUAGGAAACUGAUGGUAUUGGUGUGUCGUUGUUCAGGUGUGGCCGACUGAGAACAACAAGAAGUUCGAGACCCUGUCGUACCUGCCGCCUCUCUCCACGGAGGAGCUCUUGAAGCAGAUCGACUACCUGAUCAGGAACAACUGGGUCCCCUGCCUCGAGUUCAGCAAGGUCGGCUUCGUCU